rnacentral:lncRNA from 1 species
UUUUUGUUUUUGUUAUUUCUCGAUUUUCCUGCUUCCUAACAUUUUUUUCUUUUUUGCACUAGCUUGUUUUCUUUUUUUCUAUUUGAUUUUCUUUGUUUCUUUUUUGGUUCAUUUGGAUAGUUUAUUUUUUUUCUUUUUUUCUUCAAAACAUGUCUACACUUUUUACACAGUGCAUACUUUUUAUAUCUCCAGAAUAUUUUUAAUACAUGAUUAGAAUUUUUUAAUUGUAUAUUUUGAUGUCUAUCGUUUUAUAUACAUUGUAAAUAUAUUUGGUAUACAUCUAAUUUUUUUAUACAGGUUUAAUGUUUUUGAUAUACAUNNNNNNNNNNNNNNNNNNNNNNNNNNNNNNNNNNNNNNNNNNNNNNNNNNNNNNNNNNNNNNNNNNNNNNNNNNNNNNNNNNNNNNNNNNNNNNNNNNNNNNNNNNNNNNNNNNNNNNNNNNNNNNNNNNNNNNNNNNNNNNNNNNNNNNNNNNNNNNNNNNNNNNNNNNNNNNNNNNNNNNNNNNNNNNNNNNNNNNNNNNNNNNNNNNNNNNNNNNNNNNNNNNNNNNNNNNNNNNNNNNNNNNNNNNNNNNNNNNNNNNNNNNNNNNNNNNNNNNNNNNNNNNNNNNNNNNNNNNNNNNNNNNNNNNNNNNNNNNNNNNNNNNNNNNNNNNNNNNNNNNNNNNNNNNNNNNNNNNNNNNNNNNNNNNNNNNNNNNNNNNNNNNNNNNNNNNNNNNNNNNNNNNNNNNNNNNNNNNNNNNNNNNNNNNNNNNNNNNNNNNNNNNNNNNNNNNNNNNNNNNNNNNNNNNNNNNNNNNNNNNNNNNNNNNNNNNNNNNNNNNNNNNNNNNNNNNNNNNNNNNNNUUACACAUUAGAAACACAUUUUUAUACACAUUUAACCUUUUUUGAAUUACAAGAACAUUUUCAUACAUUGCAUAAACAUUAUUAAAAACAUGUACAUGUUUUUGAAACGCGUGAUCAUUUUGUAAAUGUCAUAAUUUUUUUCAAAAGCUAUCAACAUUGCUUAAGUUACUCUAACAAACAAAUUAUUCUGGGUUAACAUUUUUCAAAUUCUCGAUUAUAUUUUUUAUGAAGUAAAUUAUGUUUUUGAAUUCUUGUAUUGAAUAUGUAUUCAAAAAUACAAACAAAAGAAAAGAAGAAGAAUCUAGAAACAUACAAAAAAUGGGACUAACCUGAAAGUUGGGUCGGCCCAUUAUUUGCGGUUGGGAAGGUGUUCCUUCAGCGCGACCUUCUUUGGUCUUGCUAUAAGUGAGGCAUAGGCGCUCCCCUCUCCAAAGGCAAAGUCUCCCAACCAACGCGUCUACUAGCGUCCAACGGUGCUUCUCAUGCCGCCAUCGCCCUUGUCAUCUGAGAAAACUAGGUCCCCUCCCCUUAGGCUGCCAUCUUGGCGCUAAGAGGUGGGGGGACCUUGUAUCUUUUAAGACCUCAAUGUUCUUCGUCAACGCCUAGUGAUCAUCAUAGUUUUUUGAGAAUAAAUUCUCUCUCUUUUUUUGGCAGUGCUAUGAGGUUAGAGAGUUUUCUGUUGGGGUCUGAUGAGUUUAUUUGGAUCUGAUGAGUUUAUGUUGCUGUGUCAAGCUUUUUUUGUUGGUUUGAUUCAUUGUGGGUGUGAAAUCUUUCAUUGGCAGCAUGGUGAAGAUAUAGUGAUUCGACAGCCUACACUUCUGAGGGAUCAUCCCUGGCCCAAGUACGUUCAUCGAUCAAGGCUUCCCAUCUUUUUGGGUGGCCGACUCAUGGCGCGUUCAAAAAUCAUUAUUGGUAAUGCUCGUGCGGGUUAAAGAGUGACAAUAUCGUUGCUCCAGUCCAAUUGCAGUCUCUGUACCUAAGUCUUUGGAGUAUUUGUUCAAGUAGAGACAAAUACCGCAAAGGUGUUUUCAAAAAAUUUCAUUGCAAUUCUUCAUAGGCGUUACUUUGCAUUUUUUUUCUUAAAUCUUAGGUUCAAAUCAAUGUACCUGUAAUUGUUAUGAGUUGAAUAAAGUAACAUAUGUUUCUAAAAAAAAGAUGCUCCCUUCAAAUUUGGGCACAAUCAAACCUGGCCAACUAGGUCGUUCCUAGCAUGCCAGCUCAUUAGCACGUGUGUCUGGUCCAUCAUGGGCCUAGCUGACAUGUGGCUAAACGGGUCGUGCCCAACACACGGCACGCCAUGGGCUGUUCCUGGGUCGUGAGGUGAGUCCUGUGUGCCUGGACGACUCGUUUAUUUUUUUUCUGUUUAAUUUUUGUAUAUAUACCAAAAAAAAUCCACCCUCCCUCCAAAAAAAUCAUCUGAAAUUGGCCCAAAACGCAUGGCCCAUUAGGGAUUAAUGUGUCACGGACCAGCCCAUUUAUUAAGAGCAUGCUUGGAUACGUUUUAGUCCCAUGACUAAAAGUAGUGGGACUAAAACUUGCUAGUCUCACCCAUGCUUGGAUCCAAAUACUAAAGAGACUAAAAUCUAGUUAUUGAGCAUUUAUUAUCCUCCAAACCCUCCAAUCCAGAACUAAGGAGAGGAAUUAAAUGAGGAGAGAGAGAGCUAAUACAUAUUUUAGUAGGUUUCCCAUGACUAAAAGAUUUUAGCCUCAAAACUAGUCCUAACCUCUUUUUAGUCAGGGGUGCUUGGAACUUUAGCCUCUAAAAGAGACUAUUUUUAGUCAGACUAAAAAUAGUCCCUUGUAUCCAAGCACCCUCUAAAUGUGUCGUGCCUUGGCGGGGAGGUGCGGCUAGCGUGCCGACACGUCAUAAACAGUGUAUAAGCAUGUCACCGUGGAUCGUGUCAUGGCAGACACGUUUAAGUGAGGGCCGUGCCGGCCCACUUGGGCAGGUUUGGACACAACAACCCAGAAGUUCAAAUAUGAAGAAGAAACAAUACGAUCUAAAAAAACAAAACAGCCUAAUGGGAAAAAAAGUAAAUAAUGUGCAACAUGUUCCGGCUUUCCCACCAAAGAUACCAUGAACAAGUUUAUACUAUUUCAUAAAGCCUAAUGGAAUGGGUUGCAUCUAAGUAUGAACCAAGCAGAUGGUUGUUUGACAAUGUUGAAUUUUUUUAUGAAAAUUAGUCAAUGUGUACAUGCAAUGCACGUUAAUUUUAAAGUAUAUUAAGUGCAUGCGGAUAUUAAGCAUGAUAUUAUUUGCGUGUUAUUAUGUGAUUAGCACUAUAUUUGAUAUGAAAUUAACUGCACGCUAAACGUGUUGAGCGAUCGAUAUUAAAGCAGUCUAGGUCGUUGGAUUGAUAUGAUUUGAUGGCCGAAAUUAAUUAGAUCUGCUUCUUUGGUUCUUUUUAUAUUGAUAUAGAUAUAGAUAUAGAUUAUAUUGGUAUAGAUAUACUAGGGUUGAUUUGAGCAAGUUCCUCAAUGAAGCAUCUCCCCAGUCAGUCUAACAUGAACCUCCUACGUGGAUAAUUUACUGAGUUCUCAUUCUUUGCCGUGCGUUCUUCUACCACACGGGUGGCGUGUGAUUUUCAUGUAGUGACCAUUCAUUAGUCACUUCCCUUAAAAAACUUGAAGAAGAUCAAACAAACAACAAAACCUGGUAAAACAAAUUCAUAUAUAGUCCUCGCAGGUACAACGCUCAAGCGGAUGGCGACAUUUCCUCUUCGAGUUUGUCUUUCGAACUUUGAUCUCCCUCGAGUUUAUCUAUUUGCACAUAGUCGAUGGAGCUCCGACGUAUAUUCCUGUCGUCUCCUUGGGACGGCGAGGUUAGAGUUUCUUGUACGGGAUUUAGUCGUUUAGUGGCCUCGGAAUCUUGAUGUAAUAAUUUGUUUUAUGUUUGAGAUACUUUGUAACUUUAGUGAAUUUUUAUAAUAGAUUGAUUCUUUUCACAAAAAACUAGUCAUAUACAGUACUACUAUACAACCAGCUACACUGCCUACAAGCAAAGCACGACUAUACUUACAUUAUAUUAGUAGAUGCAUCUGAAGUAAAACAUAUACUCCCUCCCUUCGGAAUUACUUUUCUCGAAAAUGGAUGUAUCUUGAACUAAAACACGUCUAGAUACAUUCAUUUCUGCGACAAAUAAUUCCAACGGAGGGAGUAUAUAGUAGAACAAUCUAGCUUGCCCGACAAGUCGAAAUUACAUGGCAACCAAUCGGUACGACGAGCAGAAUGAUCAAGCGGUUGCUUCUUCCGUUGACGACAACUUGGCGUAUCCAGCAGCCCCGAGCUGGUUGUCGCUGUUCUCUUUGCGCUCGUAGUAGAACGCGGUCAUGGCGCAGACGGCGAACAGCUGCACCAGUGCCAUCAGAGCCGCGUAUACAAAACCCAGGAGCAGCCCAAGCGCCACGCUACCGCCCGGGCAUGUCGUCGCGAGCGUGUGCACCGGCGAUAAGACGGCGGCCAGGGCGCCGAUAACGGCGACGUACAUCACGACCUGCCUCCUCUUCCCCUUGGCCAGCCUCCACGCCCUGCCUAACGCGGCCGCGCCGUGGCAGCCGGGCUCGUCCACCGCCACGACGACGCUGAAGGAGCACAGGAAAGAGAAGUAGACGAGGAAGACGGCGGCCGCACCGAGGAGCAGGCCCGACGCCAGGAGGAGCACCAUGAAGUACUUCCUCAGCAUGGCCAUGAGGAGACCGAGGAGCGCGCCCACGAACGCCAGAAGCACGAUGCACACGAUUUCCAGGACGUAGACGAAGGCGAGCGUGAGCAGAGGUCCCUUGAGCUGCGCCUUGGCUUUACCCAGGAGCGUGUAAGAUUUGAUAGAAAGCGUUGAACCAUUUGCUCGGGCCGCAUGUAUAUUUAUAGAAGAAUUGCCGUGGCUUACAAUGUUUCCAAAUUACAACGAGAGACAGAUUUGGAGAAGAAAAACAGAAGAAGAGAUAGAACCAGAACAAGUUUAAACAUAUCUCACUACCUCUACGUAUCCUAUUCUAACAUCCUCCCUUAAUCCAAACCUAUGAAAAAUUCUCUAGGUUUAGAUUGUAUUUGAACUCGUUCAAUCUCCUUGUAGUAAGCGGUUUAGUGAAGCCAUCGGCGAGUUGAUCUCUUGUGGGAAUAAACUUGAUGUCAAGUAGCUUUCGUGCUACUCUUUCUCUCACGAAGUGGAAAUCAACCUCUAUGUGUUUUGUACGUGCAUGGAACACAGGAUUUACAGAAAGAUAGGUAGCCCCAAUGUUGCCACACCAUAACCUUGCAGCUUGUGGAAUUUUGAUCCCUAAUUCAUAUAGAAGGGUCUGAAUCCACAUGAUCUCAGCUGUUGCAUUUGCAAGAGCCUUGUAUUCUGCUUCAGUGCUUGAUCUUGAUACAGUAGCCUGUUUCCUUGCACUCCAUGACACAAGGUUUGAUCCCAGAAACACAACAAAUCCACCAGUAGACCUUUUAUCAUCAGGGCAUCCUGCCCAGUCAGCAUCUGAAUAUGCACUAACUAGCAAAGAUGAUGACUUAACAAUCUUCAUUCUAAGUCCCAUUGUGAACUUUAGAUACCUCAAAAUUCUUUUUACUGCAGUCCAAUGAACUGUACUAGGUGCAUGCAAGAACUGACAUACUUUGUUGACAGAAUAUGAAAUAUCAGGUCUAGUCAAUGUUAAGUAUUGUAGAGCACCAACAACACUCCUAUAGUUUGUUGCAUCAUUCGGUCCAAGUAACUCACCUCCUUCAAUUGUAAGUUUCUCAGAAGUGGAGAGUGGUGUACUAACCGGUUUGCAAUGUUCCAGUCCUACCCUUCUUAAAAUAUUUGUGGUGUAUUUUUCUUGUGUAAGAAGUAUUCCAUCCUUGAUCUGUUUUACCUCUAUACCAAGAAAAUAGUGAAGAUCACCCAAAUCCUUAAGUGCAAACUCCACAUUAAGAUCACGAAGCAGGCAGGUAGUGGCUUCUGAGCUGGAACUAGCAACAAUUAUAUCAUCAACAUAGACAAGAACAAACAUAGAGAUGUAGCCUUUGUGAUAAAAGAAUAGUGAGGUAUCUGCCUUGCUUGGAACAAAACCAAGUUGUUGUAACUGAGUACUUAACCUAGAGUACCAGGCUCUUGGAGCCUGUUUUAAGCCAUACAAAGCUUUGUCCAAUUUACAAACAAAAUGAGGUGUGCUCUUGUUUUCAUACCCUGGUGGUUGCUGCAUGAACACUUCUUCCUCAAGAACACCAUGAAGAAACGCGUUCUGAACGUCUAGUUGGCGUAAACUCCACCCUCUGGAAAUAGCAAUAGACAAUACAAGUCGAAUAGUAGCUGCCUUAACAACAGGGCUAAAGGUAUCCUCAUAGUCAAUUCCAAACCUUUGUUUAAACCCUUUUGCAACCAAUCUAGCUUUGUAUCUAUCUAUGCUUCCAUCAGACUUCCUUUUAAUCUUAUAGACCCAUUUGCAGUCAAUCAAAUUCCUUCCCUUUUCUGGUGGUACAAGAUGCCAAGUUUUAUUUUUCAUGAGCGCUUGAUAUUCAUUGUCCAUAGCCCCUUUCCAUUCUUUGUGAGCAAGUGCUUCGGCUAAAUGAGUAGGUUCACCCGAGUUUGUGAGAAAAGCAUAUUUGCGAGAGUCAUACCUUACUGUACCAUCCUUGUACUCCUUAGGCUUGAACACUCCAGAUUUUGACCUGGUAUGGCGCUGAUGAAUUUCAGGUGACCCACAUGUAGCAGUUGUUGUAGUUUCAGGAUUUCCAGAGUCGACCGCAGAAGAUCCGGCCAAAUCAUCCUGGACUGCAGCGCCACAGGGCUCCAGAUCCGAGGAGGGCGCGCAAUCCGGCGAGAUCUGCCUCGCACUAGGUGCCCCAGCAGGGGAUCUCCGCACAGGGCUGUCGGCAGGUCCCGGUUCGGUCGGGCUGUCGGCCACACAGCGCGCCGGUUCCCGCGUGGCGCGUGCAGGCGGGCUGCACCCCGCACCAUCUGGGUCCACGCCUGUGUCUCGGUCGGCCACUGGCUCGGCUGGUGGGCUCGCCCUGCCACUUGGCGUCACGGGAGACGCGGAAGGCGUCGCUGCACGCCCUGUACGCCGAACUGCAGGAGUAUCCAUCUGGGAUCGGGCGCCUUCCCUAGAGCUGCAGUCCUGCGCCAAAUCAGUCUCGGAUCCAGCGCAGGUUUCGUCCUCUUCUGCACACAUAAAAUCAUAGCCAGGUGCUGCAUUGUUUUCAUUAGUAUCUGAAUUUUUUUCUGGAAUAGACACAUGAUCAUGUUCUAUUAAUUCUCCCCCGUGAUCAGGACAUGUCAAAGGAUCCGAGAGAAGGGAGAUUUCUGCUCGAAGAAGAGCUCCCGCAUUUGGAUGAAGUUUGGCAAAAAGGGAAAAUAGUUUCAUCAAAAAUGACAUCCCUAGAGAUGUAGAUGCGUCCAGUUGAAACUUCUAGACACUUGUAUCCCUUAUGAAGAUUGCUAUAUCCAAGAAAGACGCAUUGAGUAGAGCGAAACUCGAGUUUGUGGCGAUUGUAUGGACGAAGAUUAGGAUAACAUGCACAACCAAAAACUUUGAGAGAAUUAUAAUCUGGCUUUUGAAACAAUCGUUCUAAAGGAGUUGUGUUCCCAAUAACUUUAGUAGGCAAACGAUUGAUGAGAUAGGUGGCAGCAAUGAAUGCUUCAUCCUAAUACUUUAGAGGCAUAGAUGCAUGAGCAAGAAGGGAAAGGCCUACUUCAACGAUAUGACGGUGUUUGCGUUCAGUAGAACCGUUCUGUUGGUGUGCAUGUGGACACGAAACAUGAUGCUCAAUGCCUAUGCUUCUGAAGAAAGAGUUGAGCUUCUCAUACUCUCCUCUCAGUCACUCUGGACUGUAAUGAUUUUCUUGUUAAAUUGACGUUUAACAAGUUUUUGGAAUUCUUGGAAGACAGAGAAGACUUCGGAUUUGAACUUAAGCAAGUAUAUCCAUGUAAACUUACUAUAAUCAUCAAUGAAGCUAACAUAAUAUUUCUUUCUUCCAAAAGAAUCUCUGGCAUGACCCCAUACAUCACUGAAUAUCAGUUCCAACGGAGCAUGAGACAUACUAUUUGAUCUAGGAUAGGGGAGUUGGUGACUCUUGGCACAUUGGCAAGCAUCACAAACAGACUCUUUAUUCUCGUGACUAGACAAUUUAAGAUUGCCUUUACACUACUUGAUCAACUAUUUUAAGUGAAGGAUGACCUAAUCUUUGAUGCCACCUCUCUAAAGAUGGCUUUAUGACGGAGUAGACUUGGCGAGGAUGCUUGCGGCUAAAAGCUCUUGAUGUGAUAGGGUAUAGACCACCGACGCAUCUACCGUGAUGGAGGAGCUCCCUCGUUGCCCGAUCCUUAAUGAAAAAAAAUACUUGGGAUGAGUUUCAAAAAAGAUAUUAUUAUCAGCGGACAAACGAGACAUGGAAACAAGAUUUUUGUUGGCUUGAGGGACAUGAAGAACAUCUUUUAGAAGAAGAUCACGUUUAAUAUUAGGGAAAUUAAUAGAAAAUUGACCAAUGUGACAUAUGUCCAUACCUCCUCCACUUGCGGCGGUAUUUAUCUGAUCAUUGCCAUAAUAUCUCUCUCGGUUUGCAAGCUUCUCCAAUUCGCUAGUGACAUGAUCUGUAGCUCCAGAAUCAGCAUACCAGAUGGUUUCACCAGCUUCUUCUUGCUCCCCGAUGGCUGCAGCUACAUGGCGCUCUUCAGGCACGUAAUCUUCGUCAUAGCGGUGCCAGCAAUCUUUCACCUCAUGCCCUGGCUUCUUGCAAAGCUGGCAACGCGGCCUGGUGUUGGAGUAGGAGGCGCCGGAGGAGCAUGGGCCAGAGUUGUUGGCGCGCCCACGCCCGCUGUUGUUGCUGUUGCCGCGUCCGCGCCCCUGUUGGUGACCGCGGUGACCACGGCCUCGGCUUCCAGUGCCGCGACCAUGUGAGAUAGAAUUAACCAAAGACUGGCGGAUGUUGUUACCUUGUAGCAUAUUCAUACGGGCUUCAAAACUUAGCAACUGAUUGUAGAGCUCUUGGACGGUCACUGGCUCGACGCGUGCAGCCAGGGCUGAGAUCACCGGGUUACACUCAAUGUCCAGCCCUUUGAGCACAUAGGAGGUUAGCUCUCCUUCAGAGAGGGGAUCACCGGUGCAGGCAAUCUCAUCGGCGAAGGCCUUGAUCUUCGCCAGAUACUCAGGCAUGCCCAUGCUCCCUUUGUGCAGAUUGGCGAGGGCGAUGCGGGUGUUGACGAUCUGUGCUUGCGUCUGGGCAGCAAAGGAGGCGUGGAUGGCACUCCACACCUCGGCCGGCGUCUGAAGAGUAGCGACCUGCGCAAGAAUCUCACGUGACAGAGACCCCAUAAGGUAUCCUUGUACCUGUUGCUGCUGGGCGUACCAGAUUGACCGGGCGUAGUUGAAGACUUGCUCCUCUUUCCCAUCUUUGGUGACGGUGAUGGUAGGAGGGGGCGCCAGGCUUGCGGCGUCGAGGAAGUGUUCCAUCUGUGCUCCCUUUAUUUGGGGUAGCACGAUGGCCUUCCAGAGGAGGAAGUUCAUCCUCGUGAGCUUCUCAGAUGAAGGAGACCCGAGAGAAGAGACGCUGCUGAAGGUGGAAGAAGAUGCAUAGGUGGACGGUGCAGAUUGGGUGGACAAGGCGCUCAUGGUGGAUUCAAUCAAGGCGGUAUUAGUGGCGGCGAUGGUGGAGGCAGUGGUGCUGGCAUUGGUGCCUGACAUGUUUUCUCUCGAUGUCUCUCGCUGGAUAGGUUUCAGGUUUCUCUCUCGAUCAACUAGAUCGAUCUCUCAGGGAAGACUAGACGUACGAGAGGAAGGGCUCUGAUGACCAUGUAAGAUUUGAUAGGAAGCGUUGAACCCUUUGCUCGGGCCGCAUGUAUAUUUAUAGAAGAGUUGCCGUGGCUUACAAUGUUUCCAGAUUACAACGAGAGACAGACUUGGAGAAGAAGAACAGAAGAAGAGAUAGAACCAGAACAAGUUUAAACAUAUCUGACUACCUCUACGUAUCCUAUUCUAAUAGAGCGCGCCCAAGGUAAAGGUAGUGCGCUGCUCCUCCUCGCCGGAGUACGUCAAGACGGCGGCGAAGAGGAGGACGAUCCGGACGACCGAGGUGAUGACGACCGAGAGCAAGAGGUACCCCGCGCCCACGAGCAGCAGCUCCCUGGUGUCAUCCUGGAUCUCAUGUACGAGCCUGGCGAAGUCCGGGCUGCCCGGGUCGGUGUUGUUCAGCGCCUUGGCAUCGAGCUGGAUCUCGUUGGCGAGGGGCUGGAUGGCGAGGUCGCUGCCUAGGAGGAGCAGCGCGGUGGAGGCGGCGACGACGGCGUAGAGCGCAAAGAAGAGCCUCCUGUUGCGGGUCGGGAGGAGGCCUUCCUUUAGGAAGUUGAAGAACGAAGUCGCCAUGGCUAUGGGUCGAUCGAUCGAGUAGCUAGCUAGCUGGAAAUGACCGCGAUGAUGCUGCUGAGAGAAGAGAGACGCACUGAUGAUAUAUAGAUAGUGUUUGUUUCCAGGGGCUUAUUGGUCUAGGGACUUAAAUAAGUCCCUAUAAGUCCCAUCUAAACCAAAUAGAAGGGACUUAUAGGGAUUUAAAGUAGGCAUUUGGGACUUAUGAAAUAAGACUGUCAAGGAGGGACUUAUAGGGACUUAUAGUUGUAAUAUGGUCUUAUAGAGACUUAUAAGUCCCAGGAACCAAACAGGUAGGGACUUUUUAGGGACUUGAGACUUAUAAGUUGGGACUAAAAAAGCCCUAGGACUUAUGAACCAAACAUGGUUAUAGUACUAGCAGAGUAGAAGUACAGGAGAUUACUGGGUAAUCAUCAAGGAAGGCAGGGGAUUACUAUUGGAUAAGAGUAAUGCUACACGUACAAACGAGUUAUAAGGUUUUAUAAAGAGGCUUAAUUUAAUUGGUCAAUAGGUGGGGAGGCGAUCCACCCCUCUGAAAAUCAAGGGGGCCAAGUUUAUGUCAAGGAUCGGGCUUGCCUCCCUUUCCAUGCACCCAUCCCUUGAUUUUAACGGGACGGGUCCGGGGUUUAUUUUGUUCCAACCGCCACAUACGUGGGAGCACGGAUGGACGCACUCACGGGGCGUAGGUAAGUCUUAUCCUUAACGCGUGGCGACUAGUACUGUGUAGCGACUAGUGAGUAAUGAAUGAACAGGAGUAGGACUGUGGGAGUAGGAGACUUUGAUAGCUUGACGUGACAGAGUCAAUUACCAGGAAGGUGGACAUCUGAACUGUUCAACGCGGGGGUGUGAUGUGACUACUCUUCAAAAUCUUUUGUGGUGUACAAUAGCAAAUCCAGUAGAAUCGUCAAAACAAAUACCCUCUAUAACGUGUACUGUACGUACUCUAAAACUGUAAUUUUGGAGGCCGUAGAGAUUAUCCGAAAACAUAAGAGCCGCCACAAGUUCCUUUUUUCUCAUUUCCUUUCUUGUUUGCAUAUUUUCAAAAAAAAUACUUCUAAAUAGGAGGCAUUAAAACACUGAAUAAAACUGGAUCAACACUUCAACAAGAUCAGAAAUAAAUAAUCCAUAUAUAUUCAGCAAAUGUCGGUUGCUUUCUACUCCCUUUGUAAACACAAGUCUAUAAAACAUCUUAUACUCCCUCCGGUCCUUUUUACUCUGCAUAUAAGGAUUGUCCAAAGUCAGACUUCGUAAAGUUUGACCGUAUUUAUAUGAAAAAGUAUUAACAUCUACAAUCCAAAAUUUAUACAAUAUGAAAAGUAAAGUCAUGACACAGUCUAAAUCUCAAUACUUUUUUCUAUAAAUUUGGUCAAAGUUUACGAGGUUUGACUUCAGAUAAAUUUUAUAUGCGAACUAAAAAGGACCGGAGAAAGUAUUUGUUUACAAAGGAAGUACAUAUUUGGUGAUUAUUGCGAUUAAAAUAUGACAAAGUGGUGUUUAGGUACAUCACCACUAGCUAGUAGACUAGAUCGAUAGGCAAUGUGUCACUAUAGGACAUUGCUAGUAGAUAUGACGGUCUUUUGACGCGGUCUAGUAGUAGCCAAAUCACAUGAAUGCAAUUAGUUUGUCUUGUGACACUGCAUGCCAAUAACGAAUGUGGAAAUCUACAUAGACGAUUGACUUUUCAAGUCAAAUGCAUGUACAGCCAUGUUAAGCUACAUAGACUGUUCCCGCAAAAAAAAAAACUACAUAGACUGCAUAUAGACUUGUGAAGGCAUGUGUAGUGGAGAAUUUGGAAAAGGAGGUACGAUUGUCUUUUGCACUGAAGUUUGUGAGAUGAGUAUCUAAAAGCAUCUUUAGUAGACCCCGUAUAAGUGAUCAAACCCGUAAAAUAAUCGCUUUUUACAGUUUCAGUCAAAAAAAAAGACCCCAAUAGACCCCUUAAAAUCGACCGACCCUUAAAUUUUUUUUAAAGACCUUGUGAACGCGAAGCCAAAAUCCUCAUAUCUACAGUUUUGAAAGCAAUUUUGUCAGGACCUGAAUACCGGUCAACGUUGGCGGUUGAGAAAUCUCUGCUCGCGCCAACGCCAUGAAACUCGCCCGUCCGCCCGGCCGCCGCGCCCGUCUGCCGCCCGUCCUCGUCGUCCGCCCCGGCCGCGUCUCUCGCUGCGGCGACGGAGGAGCUAGCUAGCUAGCUCGCUCCUGGCUGGAUUCGAGCUGAGCUAGCUAGCUAGCUCGCUCCUGCUUCAUUGUUGACCACUUCGUGUGUUAUUCGUCGGUUUUGCGGGAGCAAGCUAGCUAACCGUGGACAUGGACGAGAGAAAGAAGACGUGGGAAAAGAAUAUAAGUGAAUAUUCCAUUUUAUAGUUUAAGUUUGAGGGGUUUGUUCUGCCGCAGCUAAAACCGACCCUUAAAACGCAUUUUCCGUGAACUGCAAACGCGUUUUGUGGGUCAGCGGGAUGCGGAGUCUGCUACAGAUGCUCUAAGAAUUUCCUUCCUUGCCAACAAAUUCAGUAGACUCGCUGUGCCAACAAACCUAGCGUCAGAUCUCAUCUCGCCGACCCUUUCGUCAAAGCAUGGUUAAUAACAUGUCAUCAUGUUAUUUAUAACUAAUGUAAUAGUUAACAUGUAUAAUAAUUGGCUAUAGGAAAGUACUACUUUGUCAACAUAUGGUUCAUCUUCCAUUCUCAUAAAUCUUCUUGAAGCUUGUGCUACAGCUGAUUGUAAGUUUACAACCCGCUUCUCUUCUUUCUCGUUUUAAUUAUCUGCUUUCCAACCUUCCACUCUCAUAAAGAUUUUAAUCCUUGCAUCAUGCUUACGUCCCCUUAUUAUACUUGCUCUCAAAGGCAAACAGAGUGGAGGGUACACCUUGGCUACGUCCUUCAUGAGCGAGGAGGCGGUACCUGCAAGUGUGCGAGUGGCCACGACGGCGGCGGAUCAUAGCAUUGCGGCACUAGGAAGCAAGCCGUGGUUGUGCGUGUUGUCCAGCACCUGGCCGUGCGUGGUGGUGAGAUACAAACUAUGGGUAAAGACUUGACACGGAGAGAUAGUGGUGCAGUGGCGGUGAUCGCAUCGCAUGUAGCUGCUGGGAUCGAGCACCCAGUCUCGAGCUCCGGGGUGAAGGCCUAGGUUAGACACAAGCGAUUAUACCUGGCAAUGGUGAUGUUUCUCUUACAUUGUUACCUUGUUGAAGGCAUUGCUCGGAUAUGUUUGGAUUGUUUCUUCAGGGUGAAAACCUAGAUUCUGAUGGUGAUACUUGAGUGUCGCUCCCUGCCUGAUGACAUUGUUGUUGAAGAACAUCGUCGUCCAUGUGAUGUUAUGAGAUGGUUGGUGCAGAUAUGAUAUUCACCGUAGUUUGCGAAACGCAUAUCCUAUAAUUUAGCGCUUUUUUCUUUUUUUCCUUGCCUACACGUUAGCUUUGGUCUUAUAUGACUGGUAGUGUCGACGUAUUUUUUACGUGUGUGAGUUGGUGUUCGUUGUGUACAUCCUAAUUAUGCAGGGGCACGUGUGUGCUCAUUGUGUCAUGUAUUUUAUCGAUGCUUCAUUUUGAUUCUGUAAAAUUCACCCUUUAUUGAAAUGACUCAUUGUGCUGCCAGCAGCGCGAAGGAGUCCAGCUGACUGUGGAGGGUCCAGUGCGGUGACAUUGGUGAUCCAGCAAGCCUGGCUUUCUCGUGGUCUCCACUCCGGGGAGAGAGAGAGAAUUGUGCAAACCGACAAAGUGUAGGUGGAUUGGGCUUGUAAUUCAAGGGCUUCCGAAAAAUAGAGCCCAUUUCAAAUUUGAUACCAUUGACAUUGCUGAAGGAAAUAUGCCCUAGAGGCAAUAAUAAAGUUAUUAUUUAUAUUUUUUUAUAUCAUGAUAAAUGUUUAUUAUUCAUUCUAGAAUUUUAUUAACCGGAAACUUAGUACAUGUGUGGAUACAUAGACAAACAAAGUGUCCCUAGUAUGCCUCUACUAGACUAGCUCGUUAAUCAAAGAUGGUUAAGUUUCCUCAGCAUAGACAUGUGUUGUCAUUUGAUGAACGGGAUCACAUCAUUAGAGAAUGAUGUGAUGGACAAGGCCCAUCCGUUAGCUUUGCAUAUAUGAUCGUUUAGUUUUAUUGCUAUUGCUUUCUUCAUGACUUAUACAUGUUCCUCUGACUAUGAGAUUAUGCAACUCCCGAAUACCGGAGGAACACCUUGUGUGCUAUCAAACAUCACAACGUAACUGGGUGAUUACAAAGAUGCUCUACAGGUGUCUCCGAUGGUGUUUGUUGAGUUGGCAUAGAUCGAGAUAAGGAUUUGUCACUCCGUGUUUCGGAGAGGUAUCUCUGGGCCCUCUCGGUAAUGCUCAUUACUAUAAGCCUUGCAAGCAAUGUGACUAAUGAAUUAGUUGCGGGAUGAUGCAUUACAGAACGAGUAAAGAGACUUGCCGGUAACGAGAUUGAACUAGGUAUGAUGAUACCGACGAUCGAAUCUCGGGCAAGUAACAUACCGAUGACAAAGGGAACACCAUAUGUUGUUAUGCGGUUUGACCGAUAAAGAUCUUCGAAGAAUAUGUAGGAGCCAAUAUGGGCACCCCAUGAAUGAGAAAGUUGAAUCUACAUCUCUUUUGCUCUCUUACCAAAACGAAUCUAUCAAAGAGAUGAAGGCUAGCUUAGAUACAAAUUUUCGUAACAUACUUAAUCUUUCUUCUACCAUUAAUGGCCAUGUGCUUUAUCAAAAUAGAAAGAUUAAUUCCAUAGAUAGCAAGUUUGCUCUUUUCUUUCGUAAAACCAAAGGUGGCAAUACCUAGAUUUAUCCUUGCUUUUUAUGCCUAGCUAGGGGCGUUAAACGAUAGCGCUUGUUGGGAGGCAACCCAAUUUUAUUUUUAUUCCUUGCUUUUUGCUCCUGUUUAGUAAUAAAUAAUUUAUCUAGCCUUUAUUUUUGUUGUGUUUUUUUAUGUUUAAUUAGUGUUUGUGCCAUGUAGAACCGUUGGGAAGACUUGGGGAAAGUCUUGUUAAUCUUGCUGUAAAAAAAGAAACUUUAGCGCUCACGAGAACUGCUGCCAUUUUUAUUUGGAAAGUGAUAUUUAGUUAAUUCUUUUUGCAGAUAAUUAAUAGAUAAAUUCCUCACGUCCAGCAAUUUAUUUUAGAAUCUCUGGGGUUCUAGAUUUUGCGUUAGCUACAGAUUACUACAGACUGUUCUGUUUUUAGCAGAUUCUGUUUUUCGUGUGUUGUUUGCUUAUUUUGAUGAAUCUAUGGCUAGUAAAAUAAUUUAUAAACCAUAGAGAAGUUGGAAUACAGUAGGUUUAACACCAAUAUAAAUAAAGAAUGAGUUCAUUACAGUACCUUGAAGUGGUGUUUUGUUUUCUUUCGCAAACGGAGCUCACAAGAUUUUCUACUUUAAGUUUUGUGUUGUGAAGUUUUCAAGUUUUGGGUAAGGAUUUGAUGGAUUAUGGCACAAGGAGUGGCAAGAGCCUAAGCUUGAGGAUGCCCAUGGCACCCCCAAGAUAAUCUAAGGACACCUAAAAGCCAAAGCUUGGGGAUGCCCCGGAAGGCAUCCCCUCUUUCGCCUACUUCCAUCGGUAACUUUACUUGGAGCUAUAUUUUUAUUCACCACAUGAUAUAUGUUUUGCUUGGAGCGUCUUGAAUGAUUUGAGUCUUUGCUUUUUAGUUUAUGAUACGUCUCCAACGUAUCUAUAAUUUUUGAUUGCUCCAUGCUAUAUUAUCUACUGUUUUGUGAAGGAAAUAUGCCCUAGAGGCAAUAAUAAAGUUAUUAUUUAUUUCCUUAUUACAUGAUAAAUGUUUAUUAUUCAUGCUAGAAUUGUAUUAAUCAGAAACAUAAUACAUGUGUGAAUACAUAGACAAACAGAGUGUCACUAGUAUGCCUCUACUUGACUAGCUCGUUAAUCAAAGAUGGUUAUGUUUCCUAACCAUAGACAAAGAGUUGUUAUUUGAUUAACGGGAUCACAUCAUUAAGGAGAAUGAUGUGAUUGACUUGACCCAUUCCGUUAGCUUAGCACUCGAUCGUUUAGUAUGUUGCUAUUGCUUUCUUCAUGACUUAUACAUGUUCCUAUGACUAUGAGAUUAUGCAACUCUCGUUUGCCGGAGGAACACUUUGUGUGCUACCAAACGUCACAACGUAACUGGGUGAUUAUAAAGGAGCUCUACAGGUGUCUCCAAAGGUAAAUGUUGGGUUGGCGUAUUUCGAGAUUAGGAUUUGUCACUCCGAUUGUCGGAGAGGUAUCUCUGGGCCCUCUCGGUAAUGCACAUCACAUAAGCAUUGCAAGCAUUGCAACUAAUGAGUUAGUUGCGAGAUGAUGUAUUACAAAACGAGUAAAGAGACUUGCCGGUAAAGAGAUUGAACUAGGUAUUGAGAUACUGACGAUCGAAUCUCGGGUAAGUAACAUACUGAUGACAAAGGGAACAACGUAUGUUGUUAUGCGGUCUGACCGAUAAAGAUCUUCGUAGAAUAUGUGGGAGCCAAUAUGAGCAUCCAGGUUCUGCUAUUGGUUAUUGACCGGAGACAUGUCUCGGUCAUGUCUACAUUGUUCUCGAACCCGUAGGGUCCGCACGCUUAAGGUUUCGAUGACAGUUAUAUUAUGAGUUUAUGAGUUUUGAUGUACCGGAGUUAGUUCGGAGUCCCGGAUGUGAUCACGGACAUAACGAGGAGUCUCGAAAUGGUCAAGACAUAAAGAUUGAUAUAUUGGACGGCUAUAUUCGGACACCGGAAGUGUUUCGGGUGAUUUCGGAGAAAACCGGAGUACUGGAGGUUUACCGGAACCCCCCCGGGAGAAGUAAUGGGCCAUAUGGGCCUUAGUGGAGAGAGAGAAGGGCAGCCAGGGUGGGCCGCGCGCCUCCUCCCCCCUGGUCCGAAUUGGACUAGGAGAGGUGGGGCGGCGCCCCCCUUUCCUUCUCCCUCCCCACUUCCUUCCCCCUCCUAGUAGGAUUCCUACUCCUACUAGGAGGAGGACUCCUCCUUGGCGCGCCUAUAGGGACGGCCGGCCUCCUCCCCUUGAUCCUUUAUAUACGGGGACAGGGGGCACCCCUAGACACACAAGUUGAUCCACGUGAUCGUUUUCUUAGCCGUGUGCGGUUCCCCCUUCCACCAUAAUCCUCAAUAAUAUUGUAGCAGUGCUUAGGCGAAGCCUUGCGACGGUAGAACAUUAAGAUCAUCACCAUGCCGUCGUGCUGACGGAACUCUUCCCCGACACUUUACUGGAUCGGAGUCUGGGGAUCAUCAUCGAGCUGAACGUGUGCUAAAACUCGGAGGUGCCGUAGUUUCGGUGCUUGAUCGGUCGGGCCGUGAAGACGUACGACUACAUCAACCGCGUUGUGCUAAUGCUUCCGCUGUGGUCUACAAGGGUACGUAGAUCACACUCUUCCCUCUCGUUGCUAUGCAUCAGCAUGAUCUUGCGUGUGCGUAGGAAUUUUUUUGAAAUUACUACGUUCCCCAACAGUGGCAUCCGAGCCUAGGUUUUAUGUGUUGAUGUUGUGCACGAGUAGAACAUAAGUGAGUUGUGGGCGAUAUAAGUCAUACUGCUUACCAGCAUGUCAUACUUUGGUUCGGCGGUAUUGUUGGAUGAAGCGGCCCGGACCGACAUUACGCGUACGCUUACGGGAGACUGGUUCUACCGAUGUGCUUUGCACACAGGUGGCUGGCGGGUGUCAGUUUCUCCAACUUUAGUUGAACCGAGUGUGGCUAUGCCCGGUCCUUGCGAAGGUUAAAACAGCACCAACUUGACAAACUAUCGUUGUGGUUUUUGAUGCGUAGGUAAGAACGGUUCUUGCUAAGCCCGUAGCAGCCACGUAAAACUUGCAACAACAAAGUAGAGGACGUCUAACUUGUUUUUGCAGGGCAUGUUGUGUUGUGAUAUGGUCAAGACGUGAUGAGAUAUAAGUUGUUGUAUGAGAUGAUCAUGUUUUAUUGAAGUUAUCGGCAACUGGCAAAAUCCUUAUGGUUGUCUCUCUAUUGCAUAAGAUGCAAGCGCCCAAUAAUUGCUUUACUUUAUCGCUAUGCGAUAGCAAUAGUUGCAAGAGCAAUUGUUGGCGAGACGACCACGUGACGACACAUUGAUAUAGAUCAAGAUGAUGGAGAUCAUGGUGUCAUGCCGGUGACAAUAGAUAUCAUGAUAGUACUUUGGAGAUGGAAAUGAAAGGCGCAAGAUGAUGAUGGCCAUACAUGUCACAUAUUUUGAUUGCAUAUGAUGUUUAUCUUUUAUACAUCUUAUUUUGCUUAGUUUGAUGGUAGCAUUUUAAGAUGAUCUCUCACUAAUUAUCAAGAAGUGUUCUCCCUGAGUAUGCACCGUUGCGAAAGUUCUUCAUGCUGAGACACCACGUGAUGAUCGAGUGUGAUAGGCUCUGCGUUCAAAUACAACGGGUGCAAAAUAGUUGCACACGUGGAAUACUCAGGUUAUACUUGACGAGCCAAGCAUAUACAGAUAUGGCCUCGGAACAUGGAGACCGAAAGGUCGAGCAUGAAUCAUAUAGUAGAUAUGAUCAACAUAGUGAUGUUCACCAAUGAAACUACUCCAUCUCACGUGAUGAUCAGACAUGGUUUAGUUGAUUUGGAUCACGUGAUCAUUUAGAGGAUUAGAGGGGUGUCUAUCUAAGUGGGAGUUCUUAAGUAAUAUGAUUAAUUGAACUUUAAUUUAUCAUGAACUUAGUCCUUGUUGUAUUAGCAUAUCUAUGUUGUAGAUCAAUAGCUCGCAUUGUUGCUUUCAUAUGUUUAUUUUGAUAUGUUCCUAGAGAAAAUUGUGUUGAAAGAUGUUAGUAGCAAUGAUGCGGAUUGGAUCCGUGAUCUGAGGUUUAUCCUCAUUGCUGCACAGAAGAAUUAUGUCCUUGAUGCACCGCUAGGUGAUAGACCUAUUGCAGGAGUAGAUGCAGACGCUAUGAACAUUUGGCUAGCUCAAUAUGAUGACUACUUGAUAGUUUAGUGCACCAUGCUUAACGGCUUAAGAAUCAGGACUUCAAAGACGUUUUGAACGUCAUGGACCAUAUGAGAUGUUCCAGGAGUUGAAGUUAAUAUUUCAAGCAAAUACCCGAGUUGAGAGAUAUGAAGUAUCCAACAAGUUCUAUAGCUAAAAGAUGGAGGAGAAUCGCUCAACUAGUGAGCAUGUGCUCAGAUUGUAUGGGUACUACAAUUGCUUGAAUCAAGUGGGAGUUAAUCUUCCAGAUAAAAUAGUGAUUGACAGAAUUCUCUAGUCACCAUCACCAAGUUAGUAGAACUUCAUGAUGAACUAUGAUAUGCAAGGGAUAACGGAAACGAUUCCAAGAUCUUCAUGAUGCUAAAAUCAACGAAGGUAGAAAUCAAGAAAAGCAUCAAGUGUUGAUGGUAAACAAAACCACUAGUUUCAAGUAAAGGGACAAAGGGAAGUAAGGGGAACUUCAAGAAGAACGGCAAGCAAGUUGCUGCUCAAGUGAAAAACCCAAGUCUGGACCUAAGCUUGAAACUGAGUGCUUCUACUACAAAGGGACUAGUCACUGGAAGUGGAACUACCCCAAGUAAUUGGCGGAUAAGAAGGAUGGCAAAGUGAACAUAAGUAUAUUUGAUAUAUAUGUUAUUGAUGUGUACUUUACUAGUGUUUAUAGCAACACCUCAGUAUUUGAUACUAGUUCAGUUGCUAAAGUAACUCAAAACAGGAGUUGCAGAAUAAACAGAGACUAGUUAAGGGUGAAGUGAUGAUGUGUGUUGGAAGUGGUUCCAAGUUUGAUAUGAUCAUCAUCGCACACUCCCUAUACUUUCGGGAUUAAUGUUGAACCUAAAUAAGUGUUAUUUGGUGUUUGCGUUGAGCAUGAAUAUGAUUUGAUCAUGUUUAUUGUAAUACGGUUAUUCAUUUAAGUAAGAGAAUAAAUUGUUGUUCUGUUUACAUGAAUAAAACCUUAUAUGGUUACACACCCAAUGAAAAUUGUUCAUUGGAUCUCGAUCGUAGUAAUACACAUAUUCAUAAUAUUGAAACCAGAAGAUGCGAAGUUAAUAAUGAUAGUGCAACUUAUUUGUGGCACUGCCGUUUAGGUCAUAUCAGUGUAAAGCGCAUGAAGAAACUCCAUACUGAUGGACUUUUGGAACCACUUGAUUAUGAAUCACUUGGUACUUGCGAACCGUGCCUCAUGGGCAAGAUUACUAAAACACCGUUCUCCGGUACUAUGGAGAGAGUAACAGAUUUGUUGGAAAUCAUACAUACUGAUGUAUGUGGUCCGAUGAAUAUUGAGGCUCGUGGCAGGUAUCAUUAUUUUCCGAUCUUCACAGAUGAUUUGAGCAGAUAUGAGUAUAUCUACUUGAUGAAACACAAGUCUGAAAUAUUUGAAAAGUUCAAAGAAUUUCAGAGUGAAGUGGAGAAUCAUCGUAACAAAAAUAAAAGUUUCUAUGAUAUGAUCGCAGAAGUAAAAUAUUUGAGUUACGAGUUUGGCCUUCAGUUAAAACAAUGUGAAAUAGUUUCACUACUCACGCCACCUGGAACACCACAAUGUAAUGGUGUGUCCGAACGUCAUAACCGUACUUUAUUAGAUAUGGUGCGAUCUAUGAUGUCUCUUACCGAUCUACCACUAUCGUUUUGGGGUUAUGCAUUAGAGACAGCUGCAUUCACAUUAAAUAGGGCACCAUCUAAAUCCGUUGAGAUGACACCGUAUGAACUAUGGUUUGGCAAGAAACCUAAGCCAUCGUUUCUUAAAGUUUGAGGUUGCAAUGAUUAUGUGAAAAAGUUUCAACCUGAUAAGCUCUAACCCAAAUCGGAGAAGUGCGUCUUCAUAGGAUACCCAAAAGAAAAUGUUGGGUACACCUUCUAUCACAGAUCCGAAGGCAAUAUAUUCGUUGCUUUGAAUGGAUCCUUUCUAGAAAAAGAGUUUCUCUCGAAAGAAGUGAGUGGGAGGAAAGUAAAACUUGAUGAGGUAACUGUAACUGCUCCUUUAUUGGAAAGUAGUUCACCACAGAAAUAUGUUCCUGUGACUACUACACCAAUUAGUGAGGUAGCUAAUGAUGAUGAUCAUGUAACUUCAGAUCAAGUUGCUACCGAACCUCGUAGGUAAACCAGAGUGAGAUCCGCACCAGAGUGGUACGGUAAUCCUGUUCUGGAGGUCAUGUUACUUGACCAUGACGAGCCUGCGAACUAUGAGGAAGCGAUGAUGAGCCCAGAUUCCGCGAAAUGGUUUGAGGCCAUGAAAUCUGAGAUAUGAUCCAUGUAUGAGAACAAAGUAUGGACUUUGAUGGAUUUGCCCGUUGAUCGGCAAGCCAUAGAAAAUAAAUGAAUCUUCAAGAGGAAGAUGGACGCUGAUAGUAGUGUUACUAUCUACAAAGCUAGAAUUGUCGCAAAAGGUUUUCGACAAGUUCAAGGUGUUGACUACGAUGAGAGUUUCUCACUCGUAUCUAUGCUUAAGUCUGUCCGAAUCAUGUUAGCAAUUGCCGCAUUUUAUGAAAUCUGGCAAAUGGAUAAACAAAACUGCAUUCCUUAAUGGAUUUAUUAAAGAAGAGUUGUAUACAAUGCAACUAGAAGGUUUUGUCGAUCCUAAAGGUGUUAACUAAAUAUGCAAGAUCCAGCGAUCCAUCUAUGGACUGGUGCAAGCAUCUCGGAGUUGGAAUAUACACUUUGAUAAGUUGAUCAAAGCAUAUAGUUUUAUACAGACUUGCGGUGAAGCCUGUAUUUACAAGAAAGUGAGUGGGAGCACUACAGCAUUCCUGAUAAGUAUAUGUGAAUGGCAUAUUGUUGAUCGGAAAUAAUGUAGAAUUAUUCUGCAAAGCAUAAAGGAGUGUUUGAAAGGAUUUUUUUCAAAGAAAACCUCGGUGAAGUUGCUUACAUAUUGAGCAUCAAGAUCUAUAGAGAUAGAUCAAGACGCUUGAUAAGUUUUUCAAAUGAGUACAUACCUUGACAAGAUUUUGAAGUAGUUCAAAAUGGAAUAGUCAAAGAAAGAGUUCUUGCCUGUGUUACAAUGUGUGAAAUUGAGUAAGACUCAAAACCCGACCACGACAGAAGAUAGAAAGAGAAUGAAAGUCAUUCCCUAUGCCUCAGCCAUAGGUUUUAUAAAGUAUGCCAUGCUGUGUACCAGAUCUAUUGUAUACCCUACACUGAUGUUGGCAAGGGAGUACAAUAGUGAUCUAUGAGUAGAUCACUGGACAACGGUCAAAAUUAUCCUUAGUGGAAUAAGGAAAUAUUUCUCAAUUAUGGAGGUGACAAAAGGUUCGUCGUAAAAAGUUACGUCGAUGCAAGUUUUGACAUAGAUCUAGAUGACUCUAAGUCUCGAUCUAGAUACAUAUUGAAAGUGGGAGCAAUUAGCUAGAGUAGCUCCAUGCAGAGCAUUGUAGACAUAGAAUUCGCAAAAUACUUACGGAUCUGUAUGUGACAGACCCGUUGACUAAACUUCUCUCACAGGCAAAACAUGAUCACACCUUAGUACUCUUUGGGUGUUAAUCACAUAGCGAUGUGAACUAGAUUAUUGACUCUAGUAAACCCUUUGAGUGUUGGUCACAUAAUGAUGUGAACUAUUGGUGUUAAAUCACAUGGCAAUGUGAACUAGAUUAUUGACUCUAGUGCAAGUGGGAGACUGAAGGAAAUAUGCCCUAGAGGCAAUAAUAAAGUUAUUAUUUAUUUCCUUAUUACAUGAUAAAUGUUUAUUAUUCAUGCUAGAAUUGUAUUAACCGGAAACAUAAUACAUGUGUGAAUACAUAGACAAACAGAGUGUCACUAGUAUGCCUCUACUUGACUAGCUCGUUAAUCAAAGAUGGUUAUGUUUCCUAACCAUAGACAAAGAGUUGUUAUUUGAUUAACGGGAUCACAUCAUUAAGGAGAAUGAUGUGAUUGACUUGACCCAUUCCGUUAGCUUAGCACUCGAUCGUUUAGUAUGUUGCUAUUGCUUUCUUCAUGACUUAUACAUGUUCCUAUGACUAUGAGAUUAUGCAACUCUCGUUUGCCGGAGGAACACUUUGUGUGCUACCAAACGUCACAAUGUAACUGGGUGAUUAUAAAGGAGAUCUACAGGUGUAUCCAAAGGUAAAUGUUGGGUUGGCAUAUUUCGAGAUUAGGAUUUGUCACUCCGAUUGUCGGAGAGGUAUCUUUGGGCCCUCUCGGUAAUGCACAUCACAUAAGCCUUGCAAGCAUUGCAACUAAUGAGUUAGUUGCGAGAUGAUGUUUACGAAACGAGUAAAGAGACUUGCCGGUAACAAGAUUGAACUAGGUAUUGAGAUACCGACGAUCGAACCUCGGGCAAGUAACAUACUGAUGACAAAGGGAACAAUGUAUGUUGUUAUGCGGUCUGACCGAUAAAGAUCUUCAUAGAAUAUGUGGGAGCCAAUAUGAGCAUCCAGGUUCCGCUAUUGGUUAUUGACCGGAGACAUGUCUCGGUCAUGUCUACAUUGUUCUCGAACCCGUAGGGUCCGCACGCUUAAGGUUUUGAUGACAGUUAUAUUAUGAGUUUAUGAGUUUUGAUGUACCGAAGUUAGUUCGGAGUCCCGGAUGUGAUCACGGACAUAACGAGGAGUCUUGAAAUGGUCAAGACAUAAAGAUUGAUAUAUUGGACGGCUAUAUUCGGACACCGAAAGUGUUUCGGGUGAUUUCGGAGAAAACUGGAGUACCGGAGGGUUACCGGAACCCCCCCGGGAGAAGUAAUGGGACAUAUGGGCCUUAGUGGAGAGAGAGAAGGGCAGCCAGUGUGGGCGCGUGCCUCCUCCCCCUUGGUCCGAAUUGGACUAGGAGAGAGGGGGCGACGCCCCCCUUUCCUUCUCCCUCCCCACUUCCUUCCCCCUCCUAGUAGGAGUCCUACUCCUACUAGGAGGAGGACUCCUCCUUGGCGCGCCUAUAGGGCUGGCCGGCCUCCUCCCCUUGCUCCUUUAUAUACGGGGGCAGGGGCACCCCUAGACACACAAGUUGAUCCACACGAUCGUUUUCUUAGCCGUGUGCGGUGCCCCCUUCCACCAUAAUCCUCGAUAAUAUUGUAGCGGUGCUUAGGCGAAGCCCUGCGACGGUAGAACAUCAGGAUCGUCACCACGCCGUCGUGCUGACGGAACUCUUCCCCGACACUUUGCUGGAUCGGAGUCCGGGGAUCGUCAUCGAGUUGAACAUGUGCUAAAACUCGGAGGUGCCGUAGUUUCGGUGCUUGAUCGGUUGGGCCGUGAAGACGUACGACUACAUCAACCGCGUUGUGCUAACGCUUCCGCUGCGGUCUACAAGGGUACGUAGAUCACACUCUUCCCUCUCGUUGCUAUGCAUCACCAUGAUCUUGCGUCUGCGUAGGAAAUUUUUUGAAAUUACUACGUUCCCCAACAUUUUGGACUAUAUUGGGCUUUAUUUUCCACUUUUAUAUUAUUUUUGGGACUAACCUAUUAACCAGAGGCCCAGCCCAGAAUUGCUGCUUUUUGCCUAUUUCAGUGUUUCGAAGAAACGUAAUAUCAAACGAAGUCCAAACGGAAUAAAAUCUUCGGGAACGUGAUUUUCUCACCGAACGUGAUCCAGGAGACUUGGACCCUGCUCCAAGGAACAAAAGACACGGUCAUGAGGGUGGGGGGCGCCCCCCUAGAGCGUGCCCCCUGCCUCGUGGGCCCCUCGGUGCUCCACCGACGUACUACUUCCUCCUAUAUAUACACACGUACCCCCAAACGAUCAGAACAGGAGCCAAAAACCUAAUUCCACCGCCGCAACUUUCUGUAUCCACGAGAUCCCAUCUUGGGGCCUGUUCUGGAGCUCUGUCGAAAGAGGGUGUUGGGGAUCGUAGCAGAAAUUUAAAAUUUUCUACGCAUCACCAAGAUCAAUCUAUGGAGUAAUCUAGCAAUGAGGAAAGGAGAGUGCAUCUACACACCCUUGUAGAUCGCUAAGCGGAAGCGUUCAAGUGAACGGGGUUGAUGGAGUCGUACUCAUCGUGAUCCAAAUCACCGAUGAUCCUAGCGCCGAACGGACGGCACCUUCGUGUUCAACACACAUACGGAACGGAGACGUCUACCACGCCUUGAUCCAGAAAGGAGGAGGGAGAGGUUGAGGAAGAGAGUCCAACAGCAGCACGACGACGUGGUGGUGAUGGAGUGGCAGUUCUCCGGCAGGGCUUCGCUAAGCUCACGCGGAGGAGGAGAGGUAUUGGAGGGGAGGGGCUGCGCCAAGUUCAAGGGUGUGUCCGCCUUCCCACCCCUCCACUAUUUAUAGGUGGGGAGAGAGGGGGCCGUCCCCCCUAGAUCCCAUCUAGGGUUGGGGCGGCGGCCAAGGGGGGGGAGGAGUGCCUCCCAAGUCAAGUGGAGGCCCUCCCCCUUAGGGUUUCCCCUCUCCCAUGCGCAUGGGCCUUGGGGGGGCUGGUGCCCUUGGCCCAUUAAGGUUAGGGCACCCCCUUACAGACCAUGCUGCUGUAUUGGACGUGGUGGAACAUUUUCCGGACCUCCGGACCCCUCCGGAAUCCGCCGGAACCUUCUGGAAGCUUCCCGGUACAAUACCGGAAAGACCGAACUUUUCCCGGAACCCGAACAACAACUUUCCAUAUAUAAAUCUUUACCUCCGGACCAUUCCAGAACUCCUCGUGACGUCCAGGAUCUCAUCCGGGACUCCGAACAACAUUCGGUAAUCACAUACAAGUCUUCCUAAUAACCCUAGCGUCAUCGAACCUUAAGUGUGUAGACCCUACGGGUUCGGGAACCAUGCAGACAUGACCGAGACAACUCUCCGUCCAAUAACCAACAGUGGGAUCUGGAUACCCAUGUUGGCUCCCACAUGUUCCACGAUGAUCUCAUCGGAUGAACCACAAUGUCGAGGAUUCAAUCAAUCUCGUAUUCAAUUCCCUUUGUCCAGCGGUAUUGUACUUGCCCGAGAUUCAAUCGUCGGUAUCCCGAUACCUUGUUCAAUCUCGUUACCGGCAAGUCUCUUUACUCGUUCCGUAACACAUCAUCCUGUGAUCAACUCCUUGGUCACCUUGUGCACAUUAUGAUGAUGUCCUACCGAGUGGGCCCAGAGAUACCUCUCCGUUUUCAUGGAGUGACAAAUCCCAGUCUCGAUUCGUGCCAACCCAACAGACACUUUCGGAGAUACCUGUAGUGUAUCUUUAUAGCCACCCAGUUACGUUGUGACAUUUGGCACACCCAAAGCACUCCUAUGGUAUCCGGGAGUUGCAUAAUCUCAUGGUCUAAGGAAAUGAUACUUGACAUUAGAAAAGCUUUAGCAUACGAACUACACGAUCUUGUGCUAGGCUUAGGAUUGGGUCUUGUCCAUCACAUCAUUCUCCUAAUGAUGUGAUCCCGUUAUCAAUGACAUCCAAUAUCCAUGGUCAGGAAACCCUAACCAUCUAUUGAUCAACGAGCUAGUCAACUAGAGGCUUACUAGGGACAUGGUGUUGUCUAUGUAUCCACACAUGUAUCUGAGUUUCCUAUCAAUACAAUUCUAGCAUGGAUAAUAAACGAUUGUCAUGAACAAUGAAAUAUAAUAUAAUAAUAACCAAUUUAUUACUGCCUCUAGGGCAUAUUUCCAACAGUCUCCCAGUUGCACUAGAGUCAAUAAUCUAGUUCACAUCGCCAUGUGAUUAACACUCACCGGUCACAUCGCUAUGUGACCAACAUCCAAAGAGUUUACUAGAGUCACUAAUCUAGUUCACAUCACUAUGUGAUUAAUACUCAAUGAGUUCUGGGUUUGAUCAUGUUAUGCUUGUGAGAGAGGUUGUAGUCAACGGGUCUUGCCAUAUUCAGAUCCCUAUGCAUUUCACAAAACUUUAUAUCGUAGAUGCUGCUACCACGUUCCACUUGGAGCUAUUCCAAAUUAUUGCUCCAUUAUACGUAUCCGGUAUCUCUACUCAGAGCUAUCCGGAUAGGUGUUAAGCUUGCAUCGACGUAACUCUUUAUGUCGAACUCUUUAUCACCUCCAUAACCGAGAAACAUUUCCUUAUUCCUCUAAGGAUAAUUUUGACUACUAACUGGUGAUCCACUCCUAGAUCACCUUUGUACCCUCUUGCCAGACAUGUGGCAAGGCACACAUUAGGUGCGGUACUUCAGCAUGGCAUACCGUAUAGAGCCUAUGACAAGAGCAUAGGGGACGACCUUCGUCCUUCUUCUUUCUUCUGUCGUGGUCAAGCUUUGAGUCUUACUCAACUUCACACCUUACAACUCAGGUAAGAACCCCUUAUUUGACUGAUCUAUUUUGAACUUCUUCAAAAACAUGUCAAGGUGUGCGUUCUUUGAAAGCACCAUCAGGCGUCUUGAUCUAUCUCUAUAGAUCUUGAUGCCCAAUAUGUAAGCAGCUUUAUCCAGGUCUUCCUUUGAAAAACACUCUUCAAACAACCGUUUAUGCUUUCCAGAAUUUCUACAUUAUUUCGGAUCAACAAUAUGUCAUCCACAUAUACUUAUCAGAAAUGUUGUAGUGCUCCCACUCACUUUCUUGUAAAUACAAGUUUCUAACAAACAUUGUAUAAACCUAAAACCAUUGAUCACUCCAUUAAAACAUAUAUUCCGAUUCCGAGAUGCUUGCUCUAGUCCAUAGAAGGAUUGCUGGAGCCAGCAUACCUUUUAGCAUCCUUAGGAUCGGCAAAACCUUUUAUUGUAUCACAUACAACUUUUCUUAUGAAAACUGGUAAGAAAAUUUGUUUUGCCAUCCAUCUGUAAGAUUUCAUAAUCGAAAAAUACAGCUAAUGCUAACAUGAUUCCGACGGACUUAAGCAUCGCUACGGGUGAGAAAUUAUCAUCGUAGUCAACUCCUUGAACUUGUGAAAAGAUUCUUUCCCAUAAGUCGAGUUUCAUAGACGGUAACAUUACCGCCCACGUCCGUCUUCUUCUUAAAGAUCCAUUUAUCUCAAUGGCUUGCCGAUCAUCGGGCAAGUCCACCAAAGUCCAUACUUUGUUCUGAUAUAUGGAUCCUAUCUCAGAUUUCAUGGCUUCUAACCAUUUGUCGGAAUACGGGCCCACCAUCGCUUCUCCAUAGCUCGUAGGUUCAUUGUUGUCCAACAACAUGAUAUCUAAGACAGGAUUACCAUAACACUCAGGAGUAGUACAUAUCCUUGUCGACCUAUGAGGUUCGAUAGCAACUUGAUCCGAAGCUUUAUGAUCACUAUCAUUAACUUCCUAUUCAAUAGAUGUAGGCUCCACAGAAAACAUCUUUCUGUGUUGCAUCACUCUCUGGUUGAAAUAAAGGUUCGACAACCUCAUCAAGUUCUAUCUUCCUCCCACUCAAUUCUUUUGAGAGAAACUCCUUCUCGAGAAAGGAUCCGUUCUUAGCGACAAACAAUUUGCCCUCGGAUCUGAGAUAGAAGCUAUACCCAACUGUCACCUUUGGGUAUCCUAUGAAGAUGUGUUUGUCCGCUUUGGGUUCGAGCUUCUCCGGCUGAAGCCUUAAGCAUCGCAGCCCCAAACAUUAAGAAACGACAACUUUGGUUUCUUGCCAAACCAAUGUUCAUACGAUGUCGUCUCAACGGACUUAGAUGGUGUCCUAUCUAAAUUGAAUGCAGCUGUCUCUAACGCAUAACCUCAAAAUGAAAACGGUAGAUCGGUAAGAGACAUCAUAGGUCGCACCAUAUCUCAUAAGGUUCGACUACGACGUCCGGACACACCAUAACCCAGUGGUGUUCCAGGUGGCUUCAACUGUGAAACAAUUCCACAAUGUCUUAAGUGUUUGCCAAACUCAUAACUCAGAAAAUCCCCUUUUUAUCAGAUCGUGGGAACAUGAUCUUCUUGUUAUGAUGAUUCUUAACUUCACUAUGAAAUCGCUUGAACUUUUCCAACGUUUCACACUUGUGCUUCAUUAAGUAAAUAUACCUAUAUCUACCCAAAUCGUCAGUGAAGAUGAGAAAAUAGCGAUAUCCACUGCACGCUUCAAUUCUCAUUGGAUCACACGUAUCAGCAUGCAUGAUUUCCAACAAGUCACUUGCCCAUUUCAUUGUACCUGAAAAUGGGGUCUUAGUCAUCCUGCCCAUGAGGCAUGGCUCGCAUGUGUCAAGUGAUUCAAAAUCAAGUGACUCCAAACAUCCAUCGACUUGGAGUUUCGUCAUGCAUCGUACACCAAUAUGACCUAAGCGGCAGUGCCACAAGAAAGUGGUACUAUCAUUAUUAACUCUACAUCUUUUGGCGUGAACAUGUGUAUUACCACGCCCGAGAUUCAAUGAACCAUUCACAUAGGGUGCAUGACCAUGAAAGGUAUCAUUCAUGUAAACAAAAUAACCAUUAUUCUCUAACUUAAAUGAAUGACCGUAUUGCAAUGAACAUGAUCUAAUCAUAUUCAUGCUCAACAUAGACACCUGAUAACAUUUAUCUAGGUUCAAUACUAAUCCCGAAGGCAGAUGGAGCGUGCGAUGGUGAUCUCAUCAACUUUGGAAACACUUCCAACACACAUCGUCACCUCGCCCUUAGCCAGUCUCCAUUUAGUCCGUAGCUUUUUCUUCAAGUCACCAAUAAUAGUAACUGAACCGGUAUCCAAUACCCAGGUGCUACCAGGAGUACUAGUGAGGUACACAUUAAUAACACAUAUAUACUUUGUUGAAGUUGCCAGCCUUCUUAUCUACCAUGCAUUUGGGGUAAUUCCGCUACCAUUGACCGUUCCCCUUACAAUAGAAGCACUUAGUCUUGGGUUUAGGUUCAACCUUGGGUUCCUUCACUGGAGCGGCAACUGGUUUGCCAUCCAUGAAGUUUCCCUUCUAGCCCUUUCCCUUCUUGAAACCAGUGGUCUUGUUAAACCAUCAACACUUGAUGCUCCUUCUUGAUUUCUACCUUUUGCGGUCUUAAGCACCGCGAAUAGCUCUAGGAUCAACUCCAUCCCUUGCAUGUCAUAGUUCAUCAUGAAGAUCUAGUAGCUUAGUGAUAGUGGCUAGAGAACUCUAUCAAUCACUAUCUUAUCUGGAAGUUUAACUCCCACUUGAUUUUAGUGAUUGUAGCACCCAGACAUUCUGAGCAUAUGCUCACUAGCUGAGCUAUUCUCCUCCAUCUUGUUGGCAAAAGAACUUGUCAGAGGUCUCACACCUCUCAACAUGGGCAUGAGCCUGAAAUCUCAAUUUCAGCUCUUGGAACAUCUCAUAUGUUCUAUGGCGUUCAAAACAUCAUUGGAAUCCCUAUUCUAAGCCGUAAAGUAUGGUGCACUAAACUAUCAAGUAGUCAUCAGGAUGUGUCUGUCAGGUGUUCACAACAUCCACAGACGACGUUGUAGGGGUUUGCACAUCGAACGGUGCAUCAAAGACGCAAGCCUUCCGUGUAGCAGUGAGGACACUCCUCGGACUACGGACCCAGUCUGCAUCAUUGCUUACAAUAUAUUUUCAACUUAAUCUUUCUCUAGGAACGUAUUGAAACAGGGAGCUACAACGUGAGCUAUUUAUCUACAACAUAUUUGCAAAGACAAUUUAGACUAUGUUCAUGAUAAUUGAGUUCAUCUAAUCAAAUUAUUUAAUGAACUCCCACUCAGAUAGACAUCCCUCUAGUCAUCUAAGUGAAACAUGAUCCGAAUCGACUAGGCCGUGUCCGAUCAUCACGUGAGACGGACUAGUCAUCAACGGUGAACAUCUCAUGUUGAUCGUAUCUUCUAUACGACUCAUGUUCGACCUUUCGGUCUUCCGUGUUCUGAGGCCAUGUCUGUACAUGCUAGGCUCAUCAAGUCAACCUAAGUGUUUCGCAUGUGUCCCGAGGCCAUGUCUGUACAUGCUAGGCUCGUCAACACCCGUUGUAUUCGAACGUUAGAAUCUAUCACACCCGAUCAUCACGUGGUGCUUCGAAACAAUGAACCUUCGCAACGGUGCACAGUUAGGGGGAACACUUUUUCUUGAAAUUUUAGUGAGGGAUCAUCUUAUUUAAGCUACCGUCGUUCUAAGAAAAUAAGAUGUAAAACAUGAUAAACAUCACAUGCAAUCAAAUAGUGACAUGAUAUGGCCAAUAUCGUUUUUCUCCUUUUGAUCUCCAUCUUCGGGGCUCCAUGAUCAUCGUUAUCACCGGCAUGACACCAUGAUCUCCAUCAUCGUGUCUUCUUGAAGUUGUCUCGUCAUCUAUUACUUCUACUACUAUGGCUAACGCUUUAGCAAUAAAGUAAAGUAAUUACAUGACGUUUAUGUUGACACGCAGGUCAUAAAUAAAUUAAGACAACUCAUAUGGCUCCUGCCGGUUGUCAUACUCAUCGACAUGCAAGUCGUGAUUCCUAUUACAAGAACAUGAUCAAUCUCAUACAUCACAUAUACCAUUCAUCACAUCCUUUUGGCCAUAUCACAUCACACGGCACAUGCUGCAAAAACAAGUUAGACGUCCUCUAAUUGUUAUUGCAAGUUUUCACGUGGCUGCUAUAGGUUUCUAGCAACAACGUUUCUUACCUACGCGAAAACCACAACAUGAUAUGCCAAUUUCUAUUUACCCUUCAUAAGGACCCUUUUCAUCGUAUCCGAUCCAACUAAAGUGGGAGAGAUAGACACCCGCUAGCCACCUUAUGCAACCAGUGCAUGUCAGUCGGUGGAACCAGUCUCACGUAAGAGUACGUGUAAGGUCGGUCCGGGCUGCUUCAUCCCACAAUGCCGCCGAAUCAAGAUAAGACUAGUAACGGCAAGUAAAUUGACAAAAUCGACGCCCACAACUGCUUUGUGUUCUACUCGUGCAUAGAAACUACGCAUAGACCUAGCUCAUGAUGCCACUGUUGGGGAUCGUAGCAGAAAUUUAAAAUUUUCUACGCAUCACCAAGAUCAAUCUAUGGAGUAAUCUAGCAACGAGGGAAGGAGAGUGCAUCUACACACCCUUGUAGAUCGCUAAGCGGAAGCGUUCAAGUGAACGGGGUUGAUGGAGUCGUACUCGUCGUGAUCCAAAUCACCGAUGAUCCUAGCGCCGAACGGACGGCACCUCUGUGUUCAACACACAUACGGAACGGAGACGUCUCCCACGUCUUGAUCCAGCAAGGAGGAGGGAGAGGUUGAGGAAGAGAGUCCAACAGCAGCACGAUGACGUGGUGGUGAUGGAGUGGCAGUUCUCCGGCAGGGCUUCGCCAAGCUCACGCGGAGGAGGAGAGGUAUUGGAGGGGAGGGGCUGCGCCAUGUUCAAGGGUGUGGCCGCCCUCCCACCCCUCUACUAUUUAUAGGUGGGGAGAGAGGGGCCGCCCCCCCUAGAUCCCAUCUACGGUUGGGGCGGCGGCCAAGGGGGGGGGGAGGAGUGCCUCCCAAGUCAAGUGGAGGCCCUUCCCCUUAGGGUUUCCCCUCUCCCAUGCGCAUGGGCCUUGGGGUGGCUGGUGCCCUUGGCCCAUUAAGGUUAGGGCGCCCCCUUACAGCCCAUGCUGCUGUAUUGGACGUGGCGGAAUAUUUUUCGGACCUCCGGACCCCUCCGGAAUCCUCCGGAACCUUCUGGAAGCUUCCCGGUACAAUACCGGAAAAACCGAACUUUUCCCGGAACCCGAACAACAACUUUCCAUAUAUAAAUCUUUACCUCCGGACCAUUCCAAAACUCCUCGUGACGUCCGGGAUCUCAUCCGGGACUCUGAACAACAUUCGGUAAUCACAUACAAGUCUUCCUAAUAACCCUAGCAUCAUCGAACCUUAAGUGUGUAGACCCUACGGGUUCGGGAACCAUGCAGACAUGACCGAGACAACUCUCCGGCCAAUAACCAACAGCGGUAUCUGGAUACCCAUGUUGGCUCCCACAUGUUCCAUGAUGAUCUCAUCGGAUGAACCACGAUGUCGAGGAUUCAAUCAAUCCCGUAUUCAAUUCCCUUUGUCCAGCGGUAUUGUACUUGCCCGAGAUUCGAUCGUCGGUAUCCCCAUACCUUGUUCAAUCUCGUUACCGGCAAGUCUCUUUACUCGUUCCGUAACACAUCAUCCCGUGAUCAACUCCUUGGCCACAUUGUGCACAUUAUGAUGAUGUCCUACCGAGUGGGCCCAGAGAUACCUCUCCGUUUACACGGAGUGACAAAUCCCAGUCUCGAUUCGUGCCAACCCAACAGACACUUUUGGAGAUACCUGUAGUGUACCUUUAUAGCCACCCAGUUACGUUGUGACAUUUGGCACACCCAAAGCACUCCUACGGUAUCUGGGAGUUGCAUAAUCUCAUGGUCUAAGGAAAUGAUACUUGACAUUAGAAAAUCUUUAGCAUACGAACUACACGAUCUUGUGCUAGGCUUAGGAUUGGGUCUUGUCCAUCACAUCAUUCUCCUAAUGAUGUGAUCCCGUUAUCAAUGACAUCCAAUGUCCAUGGUCAGGAAACCGUAACCAUCUAUUGAUCAACGAGCUAGUCAACUAGAGGCUUACUAGGGACAUGGUGUUGUCUAUGUAUCCACACAUGUAUCUGAGUUUCCUAUCAAUACAAUUUUAGCAUGGAUAAUAAACGAUUGUCAUGAACAAUGAAAUAUAAUAUAAUAAUAACCAAUUUAUUAUUGCCUCUAGGGCAUAUUUCCAACAGUCUCCCACUUGCACUAGAGUCAAUAAUCUAGUUCACAUUGCCAUGUGAUUAACACUCACCGGUCACAUCGCUAUGUGACCAACAUCCAAAUAGUUUACUAGAGUCACUAAUCCAGUUCACAUCACUAUGUGAUUAAUACUCAAUGAGUUCUGGGUUUGAUCAUGUUAUGCUUGUGAGAGAGGUUGUAGUCAACGGGUCUUGCCAUAUUCAGAUCCCUAUGUAUUUCGCAAAACUUUAUAUCGUAGAUGCUGCUACCACGUUCCACUUGGAGCUAUUCCAAAUUAUUGCUCCAUUAUACGUAUCUGGUAUCUCUACUCAGAGCUAUCCGGAUAGGUGUUAAGCUUGCAUCGACGUAACUCUUUAUGUCGAACUCUUUAUCACCUCCAUAACCGAGAAACAUUUCCUUAUUCCUCUAAGGAUAAUUUUGACUGCUAUCUGGUGAUCCACUCCUAGAUCACCUUUGUACCCUCUUGCCAGACAUGUGGCAAGGCACACAUUAGGUGCGGUACUUCAGCAUGGCAUACCGUAUAGAGCCUAUGACAAGAGCAUAGGGGAUGACCUUUGUCCUUCUUCUUUCUUCUGCCGUGGUCAAGCUUUGAGUCUUACUCAACUUCACACCUUACAACUCAGGUAAGAACCCCUUCUUUGACUGAUCUAUUUUGAACUCCUUCAAAAACAUGUCAAGGUGUGCGUUCUUUGAAAGCACCAUCAGGCGUCUUGAUCUAUCUCUAUAGAUCUUGAUGCCCAAUAUGUAAGCAACUUUAUCCAGGUUUUCCUUUGAAAAACACUCUUCAAACAACCGUUUAUGCUUUCCAGAAAUUCUACAUUAUUUCGGAUCAACAAUAUGUCAUCCACAUAUACUUAUCAGAAAUGUUGUAGUGCUCCCACUCACUUUCUUGUAAAUACAAGUUUCUAACAAACAUUGUAUAAACCUAAACCUUUCAUCACUCCAUCAAAACAUAUAUUCCGAUUCCGAGAUGCUUGCUCUAGUCCAUAGAAGGAUUGCUGGAGCCAGCAUACCUUUUAGCAUCCUUAGGAUCGGCAAAACCUUUUAUUGUAUCACAUACAACUUUUCUUAUGAAAACUGGUAAGAAAACUUGUUUUGACAUCCAUCUGUAAGAUUUCAUAAUCGAAAAAUACAGCUAAUGCUAACAUGAUUCUGACGGACUUAAGCAUCGCUACGGGUGAGAAAUUAUCAUCGUAGUCAACUCCUUGAACUUGUGAAAAGAUUCUUUCCCAUAAGUCGAGUUUCAUAGACGGUAACAUUACCGCCCACGUUCGUCUUCUUCUUAAAGAUCCAUUUAUCUCAAUGGCUUGCCGAUCAUCGGGCAAGUCCACCAAAGUCCAUACUUUGUUCUGAUAUAUGGAUCCUAUCUUGGAUUUCAUGGCUUCUAACCAUUUGUCGGAAUACGGGCCCACCAUUGCUUCUCCAUAGCUCGUAGGUUCAUGGUUGUCCAACAACAUGAUAUCUAAGACAGGAUUACCGUACCACUCAGGAGUAGUACAUAUCCUUGUCGACCUACGAGGUUCGAUAGCAACUUGAUCGGAAGCUUUAUGAUCACUAUCAUUAACUUCCUAUUCAACAGAUGUAGGCUCCACAGAAAACAUCUUUCUGUGUUGCAUCACUCUCAGGUUGAAAUAAAGGUUCGACAACCUCAUCAAGUUCUAUCUUCCUCCCACUCAAUUCUUUCGAGAGAAACUCCUUCUCGAGAAAGGACCCGUUCUUAGCGACAAACAAUUUGCCCUCGGAUCUGAGAUAGAAGGUAUACCCAACUGUCACCUUUGGGUAUCCUAUGAAGAUGUGUUUGUCCGCUUUGGGUUUGAGCUAGUAAAAUCCCAGUAGUUGCGCCAUUAGUAGGCAAAACUGGUGCGCCAUUAGUAGGCCUUUUCCUAGUAGUGGGACUAACCUAUUAACCGGAGGCCCAGCCCAGAAUUGCUGUUUUUUUGCCUAUUUUAGGGUUUCGAAGAAAAGGAUAUCAAAGGGAGUCCAAACGGAAUGAAACCUUCAGGAACGUGAUUUUUGGAACGAAGAAGAUCCAGGAGACUUGGACCCUACGUCAAGCAACCAACAGGGAAGCCACGAGGUAGGGGGGGCGUGCCUCCCCCCCCCAAGGCGCGCCCUCCACCCUCGUGGGUCCCCUAUUUCUCAACCGACGUACUCCUUCCUCUUAUAUAUACCUACCGUCCCCCAAACAAUCAGAUACGGAGCCAAAACCCUAAUUCCACCGCCGUGACUUUCUGUAUCCACGAGAUCCCAUCUUGGGGCCUGUUCCGGAGCUCCGCCGGAGGGGCAUCUAUCACGGAGGGCUUCUAUAUCAACACCAUAGCCUCUCCAUGAAGUGUGAGUAGUUUACCUCAGACCUUCGGGUCCAUAGUUAUUAACUAGAUGGCUUCUUAUCUCUUUUUGGAUCUCAAUACAAAGUUCUCCCCCUCUCUUGUGGAGAUCUAUUCGAUGUAAUUUUCUUUUGCGGUGUGUUUGUUGAGACCGAUGAAUUGUGGGUUUAUGAUCAAGUUUAUCUAUAAACAAUAUUUGAAUCUUCUCUGAAUUCUUUUAUGUAUGAUUGGUUAUCUUUGCAAGUCUCUUCGAAUUAUCAGUUUGGUUUGGCCUACUAGAUUGAUCUUUCUUGCAAUGGGAGAAGUGCUUAGCUUUGGGUUCAAUCUUGCGGUGUCCUUUUCCAGUGACAGUAGGGGCAGCAAGGCAUGUAUUGUAUUGUUGCCAUCGAGGAUAACAAGAUGGUUUUUUUAUCAUAUUGCAUGAAUUUAUCCCUCUACAUCAUGUCAUCUUGCUUAAGGCGUUACCCUGUUCUUAUGAACUUAAUACUCUAGAUGCAUGCUGGAUAGUGGUCGAUGUGUGGAGUAAUAGUAGUAGAUGCAGGCAGGAGUUGGUCUACUUGUCUCGGACGUGAUGCCUAUAUACAUGAUCAUACCUAGAUAUUCUUAUAACUAUGCUCAAUUCUGUCAAUUGCUCAACAGUAAUUUGUUCAUCCACCGUAAAAUACUUAUGCUUUUGAGAGAAGCCACUAGUGAAACCUAUGCCCCCGGGUCUAUCUUGUAUCAUAUUAAUCUUCCAACGCUUAGUUAUUUUCAUUGCCUUUUAUUUUACUUUGCAUCUUUAUCAUAAAAAUACCAAAAAUAUUAUCUUAUCAUAUCUGUCAGAUCUCACUCUCGUAAGUGACCGUGUAGGGAUUGACAACCCUUUAUCGCGUUGGUUGCGAGAAUUUAUUUGUUUUGUGUAGGUGCGAGGGACUCGCGUCUAGCCUCCUACUGGAUUGAUACCUUGGUUCUCAAAAACUGAGGGAAAUACUUACGCUACUUUGCUGCACCACCCUUUCCUCUUCAAGGGAAAACCAGCGCAAGUGCUCAAGAGGUAGCAGUACUCUGUUCUUAUAUCUGAAGAAGGUGUGAAGUUGCAUUGUUCACAUACUGGUUCAUUCAGUUGUCGACUGUUCCUUGUUGCUCCUCUCCUCCUCGAGUUGCCGCUCUACGAUCAAGAUCAUCGUUGGCAGUGGUAUUCACCAUUUGCCCAUUGUCGUUAGUAUGCUAUUAGUUAUUGUGGCUUGCUUGCUUCAGUGAUUUUUUCAUUCCUCCUAUAAAACGGUUACACUAUAGGUAGUAUCAUUGAUCAUUCGGCUAAACCCCUAAAUACUCUAUAUAAAAUAUAUGCAUGAGAGGCCCCUCCGAUUUGGGAGAAUUUCCCUAUAAAAUCAAGUGAUUUGAGUUUUUGUUCUUGUUGGAUGUUGUGGAUACAUAGUCGAGUUUACCACUAGAGCGCCCCAUUGUAGCCAUGGCUCAUCGUUCGCAUGACCAACGCCCAUCCCUCACCGCCGACCUUGUACAGGAGCGUCGCUAGGAUGCCAUGAUCAACUUCACUGAAAGAAUUGGACGGAGCCGCCUCCUAGUGACCGUCGCUCACCACUACCCAAUUCUCGCCGUCCAAGCUUCCUUCUCCAUAUGCGUUGAUAGCUUCGUGGCGAGCCCCUCUUCUUUUCAUGUCUAUCCCCGAGCUGGCGCGUAUCCUCUAGCCUAUUGUAGCCUAGCACCACCAUAGCUGCUCUGUCUAGUUUCGUCACCGGGGCUUCUCAGGUGACCAUAUGGACCAAGGCAUGCUAGUGCGACCUUUGGGGACCUCUUGCCCGUCUCAGCCUUUGUAGUGCACCGUAGCCUCGCCCUGGUCAAGCCUGUGUUGCUGCCAUUGUCAGACCUUGUUGCCAACCUCGAUUCUUGUAGUCCUGCUAAACUCCGCCACCAUCAAUCAGCGCGGCUUUAGCCCAACAACCUGCAGAAGCAAACCACGUCGCAAACCGUGGCAUGUAACAAGUUCUUGAACGUCAACAUCGUGUCGACGUGAUUUGACUCUGCAUGGCGAGCGGAGUUCUACAGAGACUUNNNNNNNNNNNNNNNNNNNNNNNNNNNNNNNNNNNNNNNNNNNNNNNNNNNNNNNNNNNNNNNNNNNNNNNNNNNNNNNNNNNNNNNNNNNNNNNNNNNNNNNNNNNNNNNNNNNNNNNNNNNNNNNNNNNNNNNNNNNNNNNNNNNNNNNNNNNNNNNNNNNNNNNNNNNNNNNNNNNNNNNNNNNNNNNNNNNNNNNNNNNNNNNNNNNNNNNNNNNNNNNNNNNNNNNNNNNNNNNNNNNNNNNNNNNNNNNNNNNNNNNNNNNNNNNNNNNNNNNNNNNNNNNNNNNNNNNNNNNNNNNNNNNNNNNNNNNNNNNNNNNNNNNNNNNNNNNNNNNNNNNNNNNNNNNNNNNNNNNNNNNNNNACCGGUCAGAACCUCCUAAAAUCGGUCAUGUUAGCUUGAAAACCACGAGUGAUUUAUAUGUUUUUAUAGAUUUGAUUGAGGGUAAAAGGUAUAUCAAAACUGACUUCGGGGAGGGUAUGCUGAAUUUGGGGGUGAUUUUGAUAUUUCUUUCAAACAUAUAUUAAGGCAAAUUUAAGGAAAUAAAAAAGCUUAACGAGGCACAUCUAGCUCCCGGUUCAUUUUUGUGAGCAACUUCACUCAGUCAUUCUCCUCAUGUAGGCGUCAACCUAUAGAUAGGAUCCUACGAAACAUCAAACCGUAAACUGGAUUUAUUCUUUAGGAGUUGCAUCUUCUUUCUUUUUGGAUCAAUUUGUUUUAGCCCCUGCUCUGCUUUUUUUAGCAUGCACUAGGACAAUGCCCGUGCUUUGCAACGGGUGGCAGAAUAUUAUUUGUGUGUAACCGAUACUUUUGGGAUUAUUGCACUUUAUUAUUUCUGAUGUUCGUUGUGCCGCCAUGAUUGAACGUCAAUAGAUUAGAUGUUUUCCCGCAAAAAGAAGACAACUGCCAAUAUAAUCAUUUGGCUUUGAAAAGCACAUCUAGGGGAAACCAAACAAGCUCUUGGUGGAUCCAAGGUGCUUCAGUAGCUGGCACUUCUGAUCUCUCUUUAGAACUUGGGCGACUUGAACGCAUGGUUAUGCUCAUUACAGGAACCCUCGUUGCUCGCCCUAACCAUGCUUGCCGCUGCUAGAAAAAAAUUCCGAACACAUGGUAAGCAAUGAAACAAAAUGAGAAUGAUGAAUAAGUCAAACAUCAAAGAAGUGAAACAUCAAGCAAACAAAUAAUUGACUUCUACUCAUUUAUUUGUCCAAGCGAAACUAAUCUAAAUGUAAUACCCAGUAGUCUUUUUUGCUAUCUAUUUUUCAGAUCACUCUGAACAGAAAUCAAGUAAAAUUUCUGGGCAAUUUAGCACUCACUGUAGAUGAUAGUGGUAAACAUAACAGGAUAAAUAUGUUGUUUCUUGUGUCUUGUCAGAUAUAAAAGAGAUUUCAAAAUGAACCAUCCACAGCAGAAAGAAUUGCAGGUCACUGUUGCAUCACCAUCGCCAGUCAAUCAGCUGGUCCAGUAUAGUAGAGGAUAUCUUCAAGGGUUUUUUUAGGUAUAUCUAGAAGGUUUUCCAACUCAUAAGUUUUCAGCUUCUCGGCUAAAUGUAAUAUAUCAACCAUUACUCAGAACAGCAAGGUGCUUGCAACAAAUGCAGUAUCAAAUAAGGAAUAAAGCAUACAUCACACUUGAAUUGGAAGUAUAUACAUAAAGCAUCACAAACUGCAGCUAGCUUGGCAAAUAAAAUUUCAUUACUAUGAAAGAAAAUCUAAUGGAGCCUAUAUCCACGUGACAGCUUAAACCUUUAAAUGGCAGCGGCAGUACACCAUAGGCGACUGAACUGAUAUAGAAGUCAAAACAAUUGUUGAUUCAGGACCGGACGGACAGGUACAACAACUGUUCUGAACCUAGCUAGGCAUGCCAUCUACAGGGGAUUUGGAAGACAUGGGCAACUGUUCUGUGUUAGACUGUAUUUAUACGUAGCUUUUGUAUAUAUCUUGUAUAUUGUACUGUACACCCUUGUGUACUCCUUAUAUAUAUGAGAUAGCCACACCCGUUAUGGGUGUCGUGCAGUUUCCCAAAACCCUACGUCUUACAUGGUAUCAACCCUAACCGGUCCUAUGUCUUCCGCCGCCGCCGCCGCGACCGCAUCAACCUCCGCCGCCGCUGCCGUCGCGUCGGUCUCUGCCACGGCGCCUGCGUCGCCGUUCCUCUCAUCACGCCCUCUAGUCUCGGUUUACUCCGGCCAGGCCUCGAUGGUGGGUACAUCUUCUGAUCAGCAGCCCCCAUCGUCCCAGAUUGCGUCUUCAUCGGCUUGGGGCGCUACGCCCGCUGACCCGGCGGCUCCCUAGAUGGGAUCGGCGCCCUACGGGGCUCCUUCUUCGCCGUACGCAGGGCCAUACAGGGCUCCUCUUGGGUCUGCCCCGUACAGCGUCCCAGCCCCGUAUGGAGCGCCCUACUUGGCCGCUGGCGCUGCUCCAACGUCGCAGCCAUACGCGGUUGCACCUGCUUCUCUCUACGGCGCCGCAACCACCGGGUCAGGAAGGGCGCCGGUUGUGCCCUACGGUGACCAGCCACCGCCGUUGCCCUAUGGUGGAUAUUAUCCGCCUCCGACGGCCACACCCUACCCUGGCACUUCUGCGCCGGCUGCACUGUCCUCGACAACGCUGGGUCCUGGUGCAUCUGCUGGAUCGUCCCACAUGGGCUACUACACGUCGCCUCCCGUUGCUGAUCAUGCCGCGGCCGUUGCACCGUUCUACUUUGCGCAUCUCAUCCAGGUGAAGCUUACGAUAGAUAAUUAUCUGUCAUGGCGUGCACAGGUGCUGCCGCUUCUCCGCAGUCGCUACCUGGAGGGCUACGUCAACGAUUCUCUGCCAUGUCCUCCACCGCAUCAUCCGGCGUAUCAUGCGUGGGUUGCUCAGGAUCAGGCCAUCCUCUCUGCGAUCCAGUCAUCGCUCACCGAGGGGGUGUCCUCCUUGGUCCUCUUCGCUGCGACAUCCUAGGAGGCGUGGUCUGCCCUUCACACGAGCUUCGCAUCUCAGCAGCAGGCACGUUCUCACACUCUUCGUACGAAGCUGGGGGAGACAAGCUUCUUGACCUCAGCAUCACCGACUACUUCGGCAAGAUGAUGCGUCUCGCAGAUACCCUGGCCUCCAUUGGUCAGCCGCUUCGCAAAGAGGACUUCACCACCUUCGUCAUGAACGGACUGGACGAUGACUAUGAUAACCUUGCUGAAAACAUCAAUGGUCGUGACACUCCGCUUGAACCUCGUGAGCUCUACGCCCGCCUCCUCGCCACGGAACAGCACAUCAAGUCCCGCCGGUCCAACCCGAGUUUUAUUGCUGCUAAUGCUGCCACACGUGGUAAAGGGAAGCCCUUCAAGUCACCUGUCGGCGGCAAAUCAGUACCAUUGACUCCACAGGCUCAGCGGCCGCCCGUCACAGCCCCCUUGCCUAUGACCGGGGGUGGUCGUCCGUGUGCCUGUUGCCCAUCAUGUGGCGUUCAGCUCCCCUGUCAGCUGUGCAGUCUUCCAGGUCACAUCGCUUCCCGUUGUCAUCGCCGCUUCAAGCAGGACUUCCUCGACAUCGGCAACAAUGGCAAAGGCAACGAGAAGCAGGCUGCCUUGGCCACUCAUGAGCCUACUCGCCAAGCAGGCCACACUCCAUCCUAUCCCAUCGAUCCAACUUGGUACAUGGACACGGGCGCUAUGAAUCAUCUGACAGGCGAGAUGUGCAAACUCUCCAUGCAGGAACCGUACCGUGGACAUGAUCAGAUUCACACCGCGAAUGGAGCAGGUAUGCACAUAUCACAUGUUGGUCAGGCCUCCCUCUUAACUCGCACACAGAAAUCUCUUCAUCUUCGUAAUGUUCUUAGAGUUCCUUCCGCUACUCGUAGCUUAUUGUCUGUUCCUCAACUUACUCGUGAUAAUAAUGUUUUCACUGAGUUUCAUCCUUUUUAUUUCUUUAUCAAGGAUCGGUCCACGAGGGAUGUUCUGCUUAGAGGUCGCCUGCGUGAUGGACUCUAUGCACUUGAUCUACCAUCUGCUCCUCGCGCGUUCAGCGGUGUCUGUGUGUCUCCCACUCAUUGGCAUGCACGGCUUGGUCAUCCUGCCACUCCCAUAGUUCGUAGUGUUUUUCAUCGUCAUAGUCUUCCCGUUGUGUCCAAUAAAGAUGCUGCCACAGUCUGUGAUGCCUGUCAGCAAGGCAAGAGUCACCAGGUUUCGUUUUCGGAUUCGAGUCGUGUCGUUAAAACUCCACUUGAGCUUUUUUUCUGAUGUAUGGGGGCAUGCCCAAACUUCUGUGAGUGGCCAUAAUUAUUAUGUGAGUUUUAUUGAUGCUUAUAGUCGAUUUACUUGGCUUUACCUUAUCAAGCGUAAAUCUGAUGUGUUCGAUUUGUUUCUACAAUUUCAAGCUCACGUUGAGCGUCUUCUCAAGCAGAAGAUUAUCCAUGUCCAAACUGAUUGGGGGGUGAAUAUCACAACCUCAAUUCUUUCUUUAAUAAGCUUGGAAUUUCACAUCGUGUGUCUUGUCCUCAUACACAUCAGCAGAAUGGCACUGCUGAACGUAAGCAUCGUCACAUUGUUGAAACUGGCCUGACUUUACUUGCCCAUGCAUCAGUACCUUUUAGGUUUUGGAGUGAUGCGUUUUCCACUGCCUGUUUUCUUAUAAAUAGGCUUCCUACACGACUUCUUGGGAUGAAAACACCGCUUGAAUUGUUGCUUCAUGAGUCUCCCGAUUAUACCUUUCUCAAAGUUUUUGGUUGUGCUUGAUGGCCUCAUCUUCGUCCAUACAAUAAGCGCAAGCUUGAGUUUCGAUCAAAACUUUGUGUUUUUCUUGGGUAUAGCUCUCUUCAUAAAGGAUACAAGUGCCUCCAUAUUCCAUCCAAUUGUGUCUACAUCUCGCGUGAUGUCGUGUUUGAUGAGAAUGUAUUCCCGUUCUCGUCUUUAUCGUUGACUCCUGCACCUCCAGUCUCAUCCUCAUCCUCUACUUCUCCUCUGCCUGCUCAAUUUGUUGAUAUUGCAUACUCUCCUGCGUUGCUACCUAAUCAUGCUGCAGGUACAGGUCGUGGAGCUCGCCUUGAGUUAUUGGAUGAACAAGAGGAGUUGGAUGCACUUGACGUGAGGCAUGGUGCAAUGCAUGCGCCAUGCAUGCCUCCUGCUGGACCACCUACGGUGGUUGCCGCUGGACCGGGGUCCUCAGCCCCGGCCUCGCCCACACCAGCCUCCCCUGCGCUGGCCUCACCUGGGUCGGCCUUGGAUGGCAUCGCACCAGCCUCCCCUGGGCUGUCCUCGCCUGGGCCGUCCUCGGAUUCCGUCGAGCGGACGGUCUUGCCUGGGCCGGUCUCGCUUGACCUCGACCGCUCAGCGGUGUCGCCCGUCUUGUCUCCUGUUGCAUCGCCUGGCCCUGCCUCGCCCUUGCCAGCCGCUACUGCAUCGUCACCAGAUGCCUCGCCAGCCUCCUUGGUGCCGCUGAACCCCGCUGCUGUUGCUCGGCGGCCGCAUACACGCAGCAGUUCUGGCAUUUUCUGUCCCAAGCAGCGCAAAGAUGGGACGGUGGCCUAACUUGCAGCCUGCGUUGCUCAUCUUCAGAAAGAUCCUUCGGCUGAACCACGUCAUUUUCAGGAUGCUCUCGGGAUUCCUCAUUGGCGUCAGGCUAUGGAACAAGAGUUUCAGGCAUUAUUGACAAAUGGUACAUGGCAACUUGUUCCUCCGGUUUCUGGUGUUAAUGUCAUUGACUCCAAGUGGGUCUUCAAAGUUAAGAACCAUGCCGAUGGUUCUAUUGAACGCUAUAAGGCACGGUUAGUGGCGAAAGGGUUCAAGCAACGGUAUGGUCUUGACUAUGAGGAUACGUUCAGUCCGGUGGUCAAACCAAUGACUAUACGACUUCUGUUGUCCUUGGCUGUUACUCGAAGCUGGUUUCUCCGUCAGCUGGACGUUCAGAAUGCUUUUCUCCAUGGAGUUCUGGAUGAGGAGGUUUACAUGCGUCAGCCCCCAGGGUUUGUUGAUCCUGCUCGCCCUCAUCAUCUGUGUCGCCUGGUCAAGGCGCUCUAUAGGCUGAAGCAGGCUCCUCGUGCCUGGCAUGCCAGAUUGGGCUCUGUCCUUCGGUCACUUGGAUUUGUUCCUUCUACUGCUGAUACAUCACUAUUUCUUCUGCAUCGGCCUGAGGUGACAAUGUAUCUGCUGGUGUAUGCUGAUGAUAUUAUCCUCAUCAGUUCAUCCGAUGCUGCUGCUGAUCGUCUGAUCUCUUCUUUAAGUGGUGACUUUGCGGUGAAGGAUUUAGGAAUGUUGCAUUACUUCCUUGGCUUGGAAGUCUUGCGUUCUCAUGCUGGUUUGACACUCACACAGCAUAAGUACUCCAUGGAUUUGUUGCGAAGGGCAGGUAUGCUGCAGUGUAAACAUGCCAUGACUCCUAUGUCUGCUACUGAUCGUUUGUCUGCUUUUGAUGGAGAUCUUCUCACUUCCGUCGAUUCCACUGAGUAUCGCAGUAUUGUUGGUGGUCUGCAGUAUCUGACUAUCACUCGGCCUGACAUCUCCUAUGCAGUCAAUCGUGUUUGUCAGUUUCUUCAUGCUCCUCGGACUUCUCACUGGACAGCAGUGAAGCGUAUUCUUCGCUAUGUUCGCUUCACUGCCUCAUAUGGUUUGCUUCUUCAGCCAGCACCGUCUUUUACUCUUUCUGCUUUUUCGGAUGCAGACUGGGCUGGUAAUCCAGAUGACACGCGAUCCACGGGGGGCCAUGCUGUCUUCUUUGGUCCUAAUUUGAUCGCCUGGGCUGCUCGUAAACAAGCUACGGUGUCCAGGAGUAGCACUGAAGCUGAAUACAAAGUAGUUGCCAAUGCUACAGCUGAGAUCAUAUGGGUACAAUCCUUAUUGAGAGAAUUAGGAGUUUCUCAACCUCAGCCACUUGUCCUUUGGUGUGACAACAUUGGUGCUACAUAUCUGUCAUCUAAUCCAGUGUUUCAUGCUCGGACAAAACACAUUGAAGUUGACUAUCACUUUGUGCGGGAACGUGUUGCACAGAAGCUACUCUAUAUCAAGUUUAUCUCUUCUAAAGACCAACUUGCUGACAUCUUCACGAAGCCUCUACCACAACCUCAGUUUGUAGGCUGCAGGCGCAAUCUUAACAUACUUUGUACCUCAGGGCAUAGUUAAGAUUGAGGGAGGGUGUUAGACUGUAUUUAUACGUAGCUUUUGUAUAUAUCUUAUAUAUUGUACCGUACACCCUUGUGUACCCCUUAUAUAUAUGAGAUAGCCACACCCGUUAUGGGUGUCAUGCAGUUUUCCAAAACCCUACGUCUUACAUUCUGAACCUAGCUAGUCAUGCCAUCUGCAGGGGAUUAGGAAGACAUAAGAAAGAAGGAGAUAAUAUUGCGAGAGAAUAUAUUGAUUAAAGUGCUGACCUUCUUCGAUGAAGGCAGAGAAACCGAAGUCAAAUCUGGCGAGCAGGAAGUUCUUUGCGUGAGUUCCCAGUGUAUGGACCCAUGAAGUGGCAGAUGUUGACGACGCUUUCAGAAACCCAAUGAGACAAUCUGCACUACAGAACGACAGAACUCACGCUUGUUGUGCAUCACUUGGGUGACGGCCACGGCGUCGGGUUGGCCACGCCAGCGCCUCAGCAAAUUUCUUUCAAACAUAUAUUAAGGCAAAUUUCAGGAAAUAAAAAAGCUUAACGAGGCACAUCUAGCUCCCGGUUCAUAUUGUGAGCAACUUCACUCUGUCAUUCUCCUCAUGUAGGCGUCAACCUAUAGAUAGAAUCCUACGAAACAUCAAACCGUAAACUGGAUUUAUUCUUUAGGAGUUGCAUCUUCUUUCUUUUUGGAUCAAUUUGUUUUAGCCCCUGCUCUGCUUGUUUUAGCAUGCAUGUACCAUCGAUUUUAUCACUGUGUCUUUUUUUUGAAUAACCAUAUAUAUUUCAUUGGACAAAUGUGUUACAAAGAGUAUACAUGUGGUCGUCACAGGAGACAUACGUAGAUAUCAUGCAAUAUUGCAUCAAUGACUUCACAAGAAGUAAAACUAGAAUUUCACUUCGGCAAAAUCUUGUGCCACGCUAAAACAUCGCCCACGGUCGGCCUCCACCGCUGCUGAGGGGACAACUGCCUUCAUACCAAGAUCUAGAGGAGCACAUUUUCAUACAAGGAUGCUUUUCGAGCCAAUGAACCGGACCGCCGCAAGCGACGUGGCUGAGACUUUGUGGCACGUCAGCCGGGGUUCUUCCCCAUGUCCGCUAGAUCCCAGCAUCGUUAACUUCAUUCGAUGACAUCGAAGAAGAGGAAGACCACUGCAUUCUGCCAUCUAUGCAUCCCAUUGCAAGACACCAACCACAACCACAACAGUCGACACCAACGCUAUCCGAGAGAGUGUUGAGCGCCGACCAUCAAACACAAAUCUUACCGGAUCUAAAGAUCGGUAAGAAGACCGAGCCACCUGCUCCACAGCACCACCCAUUAGAGCGCUAUCGAGAUGAAAGAAGAGCAUAAGCAAAUUAUUUCGACGCAAUGCUGUCUCCACCAUUAAAGCAGUACCUCUGAGAACAAACUAUGCCUAUCCUACACCGCUGCCGGACAGAAACUAUCGGGGUCCCCACCCGCUCCCAUCGCUGGAACGGCAGACAAAACGGACGAGGACCCAGCGUCGCCGGCACCCGGUGGUGUCAAGGAAAGCAUAACUGUCGCCUCCUUUAUCGCCUGUGCGCAGCGGUUCCAGGAGAGAAACGGGGCCCUCGAUUUUAUCAUUGUUGACAAUGUAAGGAGUGGAGAUACCUAAGAGGAGAGAGCUAGUCUCAUCUAUUCUUGGAUUUGGAUAGCAGGAGCAUGUAUUGUAUCUAUAAGAGCAUCUCCUGCCGCGUUCUCAACAUGCUCUUCCAGACGAUUUUUUAGUACCGGCAGGCGAAAUUGGCCCAGUCGCGCUCCAGAAGCCCUUUUCGCCGGGUUGGGCUGAAAUUAGGGUCGGCGGACCCAGGCCGAACCCGGCACGCUGGGGGCGCCUGGGAGCACCGGAGCGAGCGAUUUUGGCGCGAACUAACUGCGGCCCGCCGCGUCAGCGACAGUCGCCUCGUCGUCCUCACACCGCCUCGGUUUCCCACAAGGAAUCAAUGCCAUGACUGUCAUCGGCCAGCCUUCCAUUGAAUUCUCACAGGCGAUGCGGCGACGUCCUCCUCCCGCCACGCGUACACAUGGCGCCCAGCUAUAAAAGCGAUGCCUAGCCUUCCCCUCUGGCCACACCCCGUCGUGCUCUGCCUCCCUCUCCCCGUGCGCACCUGCCGCCGACGAUCCUCCCCUCUCUUCCCAAGUCGAGCGUCAACGAUGGGCGAGCGAUUCCCCGGCGACGCGACGGCGGCCAACGGCUUCGGCCGCCGCUCGCUGCAUGCGUGGGAGGCGUACCUCCUUUUUGAGGCGAACAUCCCGGCGCCGCCCGACAUGCGCGCAGGGUCGGACGGGUGGAGGCUCAGCGCAGGUGGCGUCCCCAUUCCCCGGGUGCCCGACGUCAACACGUGCGCGCGGACUACUUCGCCGACGGGGUCGACCGCGUGCGGGCGUCGCUGACGGAGGAGCAGCGUGCCCUAUCGCAGUACGCUGCCGACAACCACGCGACGUGGGUGACGUACUUCCAACACCGGCAGGAGCGGCGACUGGCCUCCACCAACGGGGCGCCGGUGGUGGGGGGCGUCAAGAACAGCAAGGGGCGCCGCCUGUGGUGGGGCGCCCCCGGCCGCAUGCUGCACGAGGUUCUCCAGCACCUCAAGGGCGGCAACAUGCCACUGCUGACAUACCCUGCCGCGGUCGCCGUCCCAGUCCCCCGCCGGAGCACCGGGCAAUGGAUGCCCAUGAGGUUCGGCUCCUUCUCCUCCUCGUCCUCCCACUCUUCCCGCUUCUCUUCCCACUCCUCCGGCUCGUCGGCGGUGUUCAGCAUCAAGGCCGAGCCCGCAGCGGAGACGCCGCUCGGCUGGUGCACCCGCAGCGCCGGCAUCGUCAUCAACGAGGGCGGCGGGCGCGGCUCCUCCCCGCUAUGUCAAACCGAAGACAGAGCCGGGGCUCGCCGCCGUGAAGACGGAGCCAGGGCUCGCCGGCAGCGUCAAGGAGGAGCUCGACAAUGCGGCGGCCUUGAAGUGGGCGCGUAAAGACUGGGCGCGGACGGAGCUAGCGCGUCAGCGCCGCACCUACGAGUAGUUCACCGCUCGACGCCGUGGCCGCAACGAGGGAGGCAUCGUCGUCCUCGACGACAACGACGAUGACGCGCCGCCGCCACCGGUCCAGCAGGGCGGCCGCGUCAAGGGGAAGAAGGCCGACAAAGACGACUGCGAGGAUGGCGGUGAUGUCGGCGACUUCGCCCCGCUCAGCGCGUUCUUCGACCCGUAGUAGUAGUUGUUGUCGUUUUUUUAAACUUUGUUAUGUAAUGUCAUAUUCGCUGAACUUUAGCCGAAUAUUUGUCUAGUUUGCCAAACUUUAGUCGAAUUCCUUUUUUUCUAUAAAAAACCGCCUUCUGGGGACGACCCUAGGGCCGACGGCUGGAAACUCGAAAGCCCCCACGCUGAGUUUUAGCGCCGGCUCGCCCCCAGGCGGCGAUUUUACGCGCCCCCAGAGGGGGCAAUGGCUGGAGACGCUCUAAGCAAAUGAUACCAUGAACUAGUUGAUAUUGAUUCUUUCCAGUGCACGGAGUCAAACAAAAACGCUCAUAGAGGAACCUAUGAAUUAUAUUGUAAAUUUUCUUACAGACACCAGGAACUACUCCCUCCGUUCGGAAUUACUUGUCUCAGAAAUUGAUGUAUCUAGAACUAAAAUACGUCCGUUCGAAAUUACUUGUCUUGGAAAUUGAUGUAUCUAGAACUAAAAUACAUUCAUUUUUGUGACAAGUAAUUCCGAACGAAGGGAGUAGUCACUACUAGGGAAAAGCCUAGCAGCAGCGCGGGGGCCGGCGCUACAGCUAACAUAUAGCAGUAGCGCGGGCGCACCCGCGCUACUACUACGUCCGUUAGUAGUAGCGUGGGUAAAAACCCGCGCUACUACUAACCCGCGAUUUUUUUUUUCGAUUUUUUUGCCCGAAUUUUCAAAUUUCUGAAUUAUUUUAACCUCUAAUCUCUAAUCACCCUCAUCGCUGCUCAAUUUAAUCUCUAAUCACCUCUCAUCAUUCCAAAUCAUCUAACUUCCCGGACGGUCACCCAUCCUCUCACUACUCCAGCCUGAGCACGCUUAACUUCCGGGUUCUAUUCUCCCUCGAUUCCAAGUCUGCACUUGUUGUUUUCCUGACAAUAGUAAGAUGUCAAUCCUAUUAACCCUCGGGAGUUUAGCUUGAGCAUGAAGUCACACAUUUCGCUGUUUGAGUUUAAAACUAUUGUUCUAAACCACAAUAAUUAUUUAGUAACACUAAUAUUUCUUGAAUAAGGAGUUUGACCACAUUUUGACCAAAGUUUUACCACAGUUUGACUAGAUUUGACCAAAAUUCCAAAAAACUGAAAUACUUAUCUAGUAACACUUAUAUUCUUGAAUAAUUAUUUAGUAACACUAAUACGUCUUGAAUAAGUAGUUUGACCACAGUUUGACCAGAUUUGACCAAAAUUAAAAAAAACUGAAAUUUGAGCAUAACUUUUUUUCCUUUUAGAAUUUGAGGAUUCUAAAAAUUUGCAAACAGGCCGUAGGAGGUCACCAUAGUAUGCGGAUUUUCAUGCUGAACAUUUUGAUAUAUUAUACGUUUUUUCUGACAUCGUAUGCAAAAGUUAUAGCCGUUUUACAUUUUCCCUACACUUUUUGCAAAACAUGUCCAAAUUUAAGUUUUUAAAUUUUCCUAACUAGUAGAUGUAAGAACAUAACUACAUCUCGAAGGAUUUUAAUUUUUGAAACAUUUUGAUAUAUUAUACGUUUUUUUCUAACAUCGUAUGCAAAAGUUAUAGCCGUUUUACAUUUUUCCCUACACUUUUUGCAAAACAUGUCCAAAUUUAAGUUUUUAAAUUUUCCUAACUAGUAGAUGUAGUAACAGAACUACAUCUCGAAGGAUUUUAAUUUUUGAAGUUUUUAUCAUUUUCUUUUGCUUUUUACAAAACCGAAAAGGCGAUCCACAGGGGGGGGGGGUUAGAGUUUCAAAAUGGGACCUUUAGUAGUAGCGAGGGAUUUUACCCCUCGCUACUACUAUGGCAUGUCCCGGAGUAGUAGCGAGGGGUAAAAACUUAGUAGUAGCGAGGGUUUAUAACCCUCGCUACUACUAUGGCAUGGCCCAGGGGCACGGUAGAGACUGCUUAGUAGUAGCGAGGGGUAAAAACCAGCGCUACUACUAUCAACUUAGUAGUAGCGAGGGUUAAAAACCCGCGCUGCUACUAUGGCAUGUCCCGGGGGGCACGGUAGAGACCGCUUAGUAGUAGCGAGGGUUAUAAACCAGCGCUACUGCUAUCAACUUAGUAGUAGCGAGGUUUAAAAACCCGCGCUACUGCUACUUAGCAGUAGCGCCUGUCGUGGUUCUAAGUCUGACAGUAGAGUGGGGGGUAGGUAUGGAGAGGCAAGGUCCUAGCUAUGGAGAGGUUGUAAACACAAGAGAUGUACGAGUUCAGGCCCUUCUCGGAGGAAGUAAAAGCCCUACGUCUCGGAGCCCGGAGGCAGUCGAGUGGAUUAUGUGUAUACGAAUUACAGGAUCCCAACCCUUCUGCCUGUGGAGGGGGGUGGCUUAUAUAGAGUGCGCCAGGACCCCAGCCAGCCCACGUAAUGGAGGGUUUAAGGUGUAUUUAGUCCGGGGCGUUACUGGUAAUGUCCCACAUAAAGUUUCUUAACUAUCAUAAAGUCUACUUAAUUACAGGCCGUUGCAGUGCAGAGUGCCUUUUGACCUCCUGGUAGUCGAGUGAGUCUUCAUGGUCGAGUCCUUCAAGUCAGUCGAGUGAAUCCCUCGUUGGUCGACUGGAAGGUGACCUCUUCUAAGGGUGUCCUUGGGUAGGGUACUUAGAUCAGGUCUGUGACCCUACCCUAGGUACAUGACUCCAUCAUUAGCCCCCGAAUGGAUUGAGGCUUUGAGUGACGGAGGAGUUGAUGCUGUUUCCGAUUAACCUUUGCACACUGGUCGUGCGUUGUUCUGAACUAGAGAAUCUCUUCGUUGAUAGUGAGCAACUCGUCUUCAGUCGAUUCGAUCCAUUCUUUUUUUUCGUCGAGUGAUCUUUCGGGCUUCGUCGAUUUCCGAGCGACGGAUCGCAGGAAAUCCCGCGCCUGACAGACUGAUCUGCCAUUCGCGGAUUCCGCGGGAUGCGAAAUUUGGGGAAACGCGCGAAGCGGAGCGGACCGCGGCGUUCGGAUGGGACGGGACAUAGAUGCCUCGAUCCCCGCGCCGCUUUAUUCGCCACGUAUCCCGCCCGCGUAACAGUUCCAGGAUAUGAUUAGAUCUGCCGGGUCCACCUGUCAUCCACUCGGAAGGGAUCUUAUAAAUGCGCCCGGCGAGGGUUUUUUGAACAGUGCCCCAGCAUUCCCUCUCUCUGCCUCCUUCGUCUCUGCCCAACGCGCUCGCUCUCGCCUCCGCACUACUUCUCCUCACGCGCCCCGCCGGAAGCCAUGGUCAAGGAGAAGACGGCGGCGCUGGAGCGUGCGAAGAAGGCAUCGGCGACGGAGAAGGCGAAGGGGAGAUCCACCAGCCGCGGUGGGUCUUCGUCCAGAUCCCGCCUGCCGAAAGGCUGGGUCCAGGGAGAUUGGAUCCAGUCGACCAUCACGGAGAAGGAUCUCCUCGACAUGGCCAACGAGGGCCUGAUCCCCCAUGGAGCUGCGAGGCUUCCAGGGAAAGAGUGGCAGCCCCAGCCGGAAGAGGGUGAGUGCGUGCUUCUGGCUACCCAUGUCGACCGCGGAUUCUCUUUGCCGCCGAGCGUUUUCUUCCGUGGUUUCUUGAACUUUUUUGGAGCGCAACUCCACCACUUCACCCCAAAUUCUAUCGCCUAUCUUGCCGCGUUUGUGUCCAUGUGCGAGAGUUUUCUGGGCUGUCGACCGCACUGGGGCUUGUUCAAGCACAUAUUCACAUGUCGCUCUCAAACUGUGAAGAAGGCGAGUCCAGGCGACGAAAGAACCCGAGUUGUCCAAAUGUGUGGAGGUCUGGGGAUCCAGGUGAGAAACAAGAGCACCUUCCCAGCCAUGACAUUUCCCGAGUCAGUCAGAGGCUGGCAGUCGACCUGGUUCUACUGCCAGGAUGAGUCGACACCGGGGCAGUCGAGUGGGCUCCCUCCAUUUACCAUGGACCGAGUGAACAAGCCCUCCUCUCUGAAGCUGAUUCCGGAGGAGAAAGCUGAUGUGAAGAUGUUGAUGGAGCGCGUAGUUCAGUUGGUUCGGGAGGGAGUGACGGGCAUGGAUCUCCUGGAAGUUUUCCUUAGGCGCCGAAUCCAGCCUCUUCAGUUCCGGAGCCACUGCAUGUGGUUGUACUGCGGGACUGAGGAUGUGACUCGGGUCAAUCCAGAAGCAGUCGACGAUGCCACUCUGGAAAGGUGGAUGGCCGCUGUUACUGGGAACAAGGACAACCCUCGCGGGGCCAGAAGGAUUCCUCCACUCGACUGCCACAGUGAUCCAAACAAGGCAUGUCUGCCCCACUUCCCAUUGUAUUCUCAUCAUAUUUUAUUUCUGCUUUCUCUGCUGAUCGGUCGACUAAUCUUUGUCUUGUUGUCUCUCAGGCCCUCACUGAACUGUACUCGAUGCCCAACGGAGCGCAGGCUCCGACUGAGGAGGGAGAAGCGAGCGGGGGCGAGAGCCAGGAGGAGGAGUGGGACUCGGACGCCGCCGAGGCCGAUGAUGAUGACGAUGACGAUGAUGAUGAUGACGAUGAGGACGGGGAAGAGGAGGAGGAGGAGGAGGUCGCACCACCGUGCUCAGAAAGGCGGUCGAAACUUGUCCAUGACCCUGCGACUGAACGCGGCGAGGGGGUCGCGACUGUUACUCAGUCGACCAAGCGCCCCCGGACCACCUCUUCGGCGCCGACUGAAAAGGCGCCGAAGCAGCCCAGGGCGGCCCCGUCGAAGCCGACCAAGCACCUGCCGAAGAUGAAGGUGUCCAUCCCCACCAUAUCAGGGUAAUCAUAUUGCUUACGUCUUCUUGUUUUGUGUGAACUUUAUCUCUGGUUGGCGCUGGAGUUAGUCGACUGACUCUUUGGAGUUGCAGUGCUGCUACUUCUGAGACCUCGGCCCGGGCUGACGACCAUGAGAUGGAGGACGCAGCAACCUCAAAACCAGGCACUAUAUUCUUAACACUGUCUUUAGUCGACUGACUCAUGAUCUAAUCCUGAUUCUUUUCUGUAGCUCCAUCCAAUGUUGUAAUCACUCUCCCUGAUGAUGAUGAAGAUGAGGAACCGCUGAAGUACAGAAGGAGUAGGAAAGCGUCUGCCAGCAAGGUGACCCAGGAUGUGACGGUGCCUGAGGCUCUGGUUGCGGAGGAGGGGAACACCACUCGACACACCGUGUCCUUUGCAGAUCCACUGGCGAGUGCUCCGCAGCCUUCCCUCUUCACGACGCACCACGUCCCAGAGGACCAAGCUGGCGCAGCGAAGGAGGCAAUACGCCAGGCAGGGAUCAUGAUGGAGCAGUUGAAGACCAUCCGGGAUGCGAGCCAGGCAGCUUACGAUGCCAGUUCCGCCCUCCAACACAAUGUUCAGGUCAGUCGACCACCAUUUGUUCUGUUAGGAUAUGCUAUCAGAAACUUUUAUAGUAGUCACCCACUGGGUGUGUCGAGUUAAACUCCGUGUUAGCGGGGGCACGCUGAGUGCACCCGCUGGGUGUAGUCCCCAAGGCUAAGGUCGACUGCGGGCAGUCGGCCUUAGGCUUUAUAAUUUCAGUCUUUCCGUCAUUCGACUAUGUCGAAUGGAUUUCGCAAACCGGUCGACUGGUCGAUUAGUGGGGGCACGCUGAGUGCACCCACUGGGUGUAGUCUCCGAGGCUGUGGUCGACUGCUGGGAGUCGAUUACAGUCUUAAAGAAGAUAUCUCUCUUUUUUUUUUUGAGGUCGACUGGUCGACUCUGUCUUCAAAUAGGAUUAGUGGGGGCACGCUGAGUGCACCCACUGGGUGUAGUCCCCAAGGCUAAGGUCGACUGCGGGCAGUCGGCCUUAGGCUUUAUAAUUUCAGUCUUUCCGUCGGCCUUAGGCUUUAUAAUUUCAGUCUUUCCGUCAUUUGACUAAGGCGACUGGGUUUCACAAACCGGUCGACUGGUCGACUCUGUCUUCGACUGGUCGAUUAGUGGGGGCACGCUGAGUGCACCCACUGGGUGUAGUCCCCGAGACUACGGUCGAAUGCUCGUAUUCAGCUGUAGUCUUAGAAACGCGUGAUUUUUCCUUUUUCACUCGGAAGUGAAUUAUAUUUGACAUUUUAGUCGAUUGGUUCUUCGCAGAACUCCUGUGAUCUUGUGGCUCGCUACUCUGAGCUGGAAAACAAGCACAUUCAGCUCGAGCUGAAUUUGAAGCUGGUUCAGGAGAAUCUGACGAAGGCAAAGGAGGAGACCGAAGGUAUGUUUGGUGAGACCUUGACGACUGCUUUUUCCCUUUAUUUGUUUCAAAAUCUGAUCUUGCUGUAACUUGCAGGUAAGGUGAGGGAGGCCGAAUGGAAGAAGGACCUUGAACUAGCUGAGAAGGUCAAGCUUGUUGACGAGAAGUUAGCUUCAGUCGCCAAGCGUGAGCAAGAAAAUGCCAAUCUGAAAGCUGCUCUUGGGAAGAAAAAAGAUCUGGAGGCCUUCCUGAAUGGUCUUGCCAAGAAGCUGUUUCUUAUGCUUGAAGGUAAAUCUCUAUGCUCGGCGAUCAUUUCCAACCGUGGUUUUUCCAUUCGACCAUUGCCUUGACUCGGUGAUCGUCCUUGCAGAAUUUUGUCAAAACUUUGAAGAAGAAACUAGCCGGCUGGAACCAAACCUUGACCCCGUCAAUUCUCCGAUGGACGACGAAGCUGCCAUGAAUGUUUUCCGACUGGAGUCCCGUGUUGCAGCUGUCGUGGACUAUCUUGCAAGGCUGAAGGUCGCCACAUCUCGCAUCGACUCGACGCUCUGGCCCGGGGAGACUCUUCAGAAUGACCUCGCGUCGCUGAUGGCUCGCUUGAACACGAUCCCUGGUCGAGUGCAGGAGUGGAAAAAAUCCUCGGCUCGGUGCGGUGCAGAUGUUGCUCUGUGUCUGGCCCGAGUUCACUGCAAAGAUGCGCGAGAAGACAAGCUGGCGGCCCUCCGGGUGGCCAACACCAAGAAACACGACUUCAGGUCCUUUAUGGAAACUUUCCUUGCGGCUGCCACUCGGAUCGCAGAUGGGAUUGAUCUUGAUGAGUUUGUUGCACCUUCCAGCCCUCCACAGGAGGGGUAAAAAACUUCUUCUAAGCUCGACGCUUUAAAUUUGCCUCGGUAUGCCGAGUGGAAUUGUAACCGAUAAACCUUAACGGGCUUAGCGCCUGAGCACUUCCGGUUCCUUUAGGUAUCGAUCCAAACUUGAAUUUGUCGUUUGAAUAUGAUUGCUCUUGGCUCGAAAUGUCUUUUGCAGGUUCAAAGCAGGGCACUUACUGCAAUCGACUUAUUCCUUAAUCCACUUAGGCGAGCACUGGGCUGCAGCUAAGCCCCCGAGUGAGAGGUUUGCCCUUCACUCGGUAGGAUUUCGAUAACUUAGGCGAGUACUUGGACUGCAGCUAAGCCUCCUAGUGGAAGUCUGGCUUAUCACUCGGUAGGAUUUUCAUAACUUAGGCGAGUACUUGGACUGCAGCUAAGCCUCCGAGUGGAAGUCUGGCUUAUCACUCGGUAGGAUUUUCAUAACUUAGGCGAGUACUUGGACUGCAGCUAAGCCCCCGAGUGAGAGGUUUGCCCUUCACUCGGUAGGAUUUCGGUAACUUAGGCGAGUACUUGGACUGCAGCUAAGCCUCCGAGUGGAAGUCUGGCUUAUCACUCGGUAGGAUUUUCAUAACUUAGGCGAGUACUUGNNNNNNNNNNNNNNNNNNNNNNNNNNNNNNNNNNNNNNNNNNNNNNNNNNNNNNNNNNNNNNNNNNNNNNNNNNNNNNNNNNNNNNNNNNNNNNNNNNNNNNNNNNNNNNNNNNNNNNNNNNNNNNNNNNNNNNNNNNNNNNNNNNNNNNNNNNNNNNNNNNNNNNNNNNNNNNNNNNNNNNNNNNNNNNNNNNNNNNNNNNNNNNNNNNNNNNNNNNNNNNNNNNNNNNNNNNNNNNNNNNNNNNNNNNNNNNNNNNNNNNNNNNNNNNNNNNNNNNNNNNNNNNNNNNNNNNNNNNNNNNNNNNNNNNNNNNNNNNNNNNNNNNNNNNNNNNNNNNNNNNNNNNNNNNNNNNNNNNNNNNNNNNNNNNNNNNNNNNNNNNNNNNNNNNNNNNNNNNNNNNNNNNNNNNNNNNNNNNNNNNNNNNNNNNNNNNNNNNNNNNNNNNNNNNNNNNNNNNNNNNNNNNNNNNNNNNNNNNNNNNNNNNNNNNNNNNNNNNNNNNNNNNNNNNNNNNNNNNNNNNNNNNNNNNNNNNNNNNNNNNNNNNNNNNNNNNNNAGUACUUGGACUGCAGCUAAGCCCCCGAGUGGAAGUCUGGCUUAUCACUCGGUAGGAUUUUCAUAACUUAGGCGAGUACUUGGACUGCAGCUAAGCCCCCGAGUGAGAGGUUUGCUCUUCACUCGGUAGGAUUUUUGAUAACUUAGGCGAGCACUGGGCUGCAGCUAAGCCUCCGAGUGGGAGUCUGGCUCACCACUCGGUAGGAUUUUUGAUAACUUAGGCGAGCACUGGGCUGCAGCUAAGCCCCCGAGUGAGAGGUUUGCUCUUCACUCGGUAGGAUUUUCGAUAACUUAGGCGAAACGGAUUCGCAGCUAAGCCUCCGAGUGGGAGUCUGGCUCACCACUCGAUAGGAUUUUUUACAAACUUAGGCGAAACGGAUUCGCGGCUAAGUCACCCACUGGGGGGAAAUUUCAUUGGACAAAGUAAAAAGUGACAAAAAUUAUGGAGGAACUAUGACACUAUUACUUUGAGGUCCAUGAACUACAGAAGUACUUUAUUGCAACUCAUCCGAGUGAUAAAACUUAAGUGUAAAAUGGGCGGAGUAGUUCCGCGUUCCAAGCUCGGGGCUCGUCGAUAUUAUGCUCGACGUUGUAGAGACGGUACGCCCCGUUGUGGAGAACUUUGGUGACGAUGAAGGGUCCUUCCCAAGAAGGAGCAAGCUUGUGUUGUUUCUUCUGAUCCACUCGGGGAACUAAAUCUCCUUCUUGGAAGGCUCGACCUUUCACAUUUCUGGCGUGGAAACGACGCAAAUCUUGUUGGUAGAUGGUCGACCGGAUUAGAGCCAUCUCCCUUUCUUCCUCUAAAAGGUCGACUGCGUCUUGCCGCGCUUGUUCAGCUUCUGCUUCGUUGUAGAUUUCAACUCGAGGAGCAUUGUGGAGAAGAUCACUCGGCAAGACUGCUUCAGCUCCGUAGACCAAGAAGAAUGGAGUUCUUCCAGUCGACCGAUUAGGUGUGGUCCUCAGUCCCCAAAGCACCGAGGGAAGUUCGUCGACCCAAGCUCCAGCUGCAUGCCUGAGAUCACGCAUCAGUCGGGGUUUCAGUCCCUUGAGAAUCAGGCCAUUGGCUCGCUCUGCUUGUCCAUUCGACUGCGGAUGAGCGACUGAAGCGUAGUCGACUCGUGUGCCUUGAGAGUUACAGAAAUCUCUGAAUUCCUCCGAGUCAAAGUUUGACCCAUUAUCCGUAAUGAUGCUGUGCGGGACUCCAUAUCUGAAUAUUAGUUCUCUGAUGAAGCUAACAGCAGCACCAACGUCAAGGUUCUUGAUUGGUUUAGCCUCGAUCCACUUGGUGAACUUGUCGACUGCCACCAGUACAUGCGUGAAGCCACUUCGCCCUGUUCUCAAAGGACCGACCAUGUCCAACCCCCAUACUGCGAAAGGCCAGACGAGUGGAAUGGUCUUCAGGGCUGAUGCAGGCUUGUGCGACAUAUUCGAGUAGAACUGACAUCCCUCGCACUUAUCCACUAUCUCCUUUGCCAUCUCAUUCGCCUUUGGCCAGUAAAAUCCGGCUCGGUAUGCUUUGGCCACGAUGGUCCGAGAGGACGCAUGAUGGCCAUAGGUCCCCGAGUGGAUAUCAUUGAGGAUGAGUCGACCUUCUUCUGGUGUUAUGCACUUCUGACCAACUCCAGUCGCGCUUUCUCUGUAUAAUUGUCCUUUGAUUACGGUAAAGGCCUUAGAUCGACGGACGAUCUGUCGAGCCUCUUCCUCAUCCUCCGGAAGCUCUUUUCUCAGGAUAUAUGCGAUAUAUGGAACUGUCCAGUCGGGAAUGACCACCAAGACCUCCAUGAUCAAGUCGACCACCGCUGGGACUUCAACCUCAGUCGGAUCUGUGGCACUCUUGGGCUGUGGAGCUUCUUCGGUGAAAGGAUCUUCUUUGACUGACGGAGUGUGUAUAUGCUCCAAGAACACACCACUCGGAAUGGCUUCUCUCUUGGAACCUAUCUUUGCUAGAUCAUCAGCUGCUUGAUUUUUCAGUCGGGGUAUAUGAUGGAGCUCCAACCCCUCGAACUUCUUUUCCAGCUUCCUCACUGCACUGCAGUAUCCAGUCAUGGCUGGGCUUCUCACGUCCCACUCCUUCAUCACUUGGUUGACCACUAAAUCCGAGUCGCCAUAAACCAUCAGGCGACGGACGCCGAGUGAAAUGGCCAUGCGCAACCCAUAUAAGAGGGCCUCAUAUUCUGCCUCAUUGUUGGAGGAAUCAAAGUGAAUCUGGAGCACAUAUCUGAGCUUAUCUCCUCUGGGGGAAACCAGGACAACCCCAACACCGGAACCAUUCAACAUCUUAGAGCCAUCAAAGAACAUGGUCCAAUGCUCCGAGUGAACUUCAGUCGGCUGCUGCUGUUCAAUCCACUCGGCGAGGAAAUCUGCUAUUGCCUGGGACUUAAUGGCUUUCUUUGCUUCAAACUUGAUAUCAAGGGGAAGAAGUUCAAUCGCCCAUUUAGCCACUCGACCAGUUGCAUCUCUGUUGUGCAAAAUCUCUGAUAGUGGAGCGUCGCUGACGACUGUGAUGGAAUGAUCAGAGAAAUAAUGAGCAACCUUCUUUGUGGUCAUGUAUAUUCCAUACACAAGCUUCUGAUAAUGAGGAUAUCUCUGCUUGGAUGGAGUCAAGACUUCAGACAAAUAAUACACUGGGCGCUGAACUUUGAGAGCUUUUCCUUCUUCUUCCUGCUCGACCGUAAGCACAGUACUGACGACUUGUCCUGUGGCUGCGAUAUAGAGCAGCAGAGGCUCUUUGCUGAUUGGAGCAGCAAGCACCGGCUGGGUGGAGAGCAGAGCUUUUAGCUCGGCAAAUGCUGCAUCAGCUUCUGGAGUCCACUCGAACUUGUCUGCCUUCUUCAUCAGUCGGUAAAGAGGCAAUGCCUUUUCACCGAGUCGUGAGAUGAAUCGACUUAAUGCGGCCAAGCAUCCAGUAAGCUUCUGGACAUCGUGCACUCGCACAGGGCGUUUCAUUCGGAGAAUAGUGACAAUCUUCUCUGGAUUAGCGUCGAUUCCUCGCUCGGAAACGAGAAAACCGAGUAACUUGCCACCAGGAACUCCAAAUGUGCACUUUGAUGGAUUGAGCUUGAUAUCAUACCUUCUGAGGUUGGCAAAUGUUUCGGCGAGGUCAGCGAGCAGGUCGGAACCUUUUCGUGACUUGACGACGAUAUCAUCCAUAUACGCUUCCACAUUCCGACUGAUUUGAGUGAGAAGACACUUCUGAAUCAUUCGCAUAAAUGUGGCUCCGGCAUUCUUGAGGCCGAAUGGCAUGGUGAUAUAGCAGAAGCACCCGAAUGGAGUGAUGAAAGCUGUUUUUACCUCGUCGGGUCCGUACAGACGGAUCUGGUGGUACCCGGAGUAGGCGUCUAGAAAAGACAGUCUCUCGCAUCCCGCGGUCGAGUCAACAAUUUGAUCUAUGCNNNNNNNNNNNNNNNNNNNNNNNNNNNNNNNNNNNNNNNNNNNNNNNNNNNNNNNNNNNNNNNNNNNNNNNNNNNNNNNNNNNNNNNNNNNNNNNNNNNNNNNNNNNNNNNNNNNNNNNNNNNNNNNNNNNNNNNNNNNNNNNNNNNNNNNNNNNNNNNNNNNNNNNNNNNNNNNNNNNNNNNNNNNNNNNNNNNNNNNNNNNNNNNNNNNNNNNNNNNNNNNNNNNNNNNNNNNNNNNNNNNNNNNNNNNNNNNNNNNNNNNNNNNNNNNNNNNNNNNNNNNNNNNNNNNNNNNNNNNNNNNNNNNNNNNNNNNNNNNNNNNNNNNNNNNNNNNNNNNNNNNNNNNNNNNNNNNNNNNNNNNNNNNNNNNNNNNNNNNNNNNNNNNNNNNNNNNNNNNNNNNNNNNNNNNNNNNNNNNNNNNNNNNNNNNNGGAGUGGUAUAUCUCUCGGAUAAAUCCUGCCGCCAACAGUCGAGCCACUUCCUCACCAAUGGCUUUUCUCUUCUGGACGGCGGACCGCCGAAGAUGCUCUUUGACUGGUUUUGCAGAUGAGUCGACUCUUAGGCGAUGCUCAGCCAGUCCCCUGGGAACACCUGGCAUGUCAGCGGGCUUCCAUGCAAAAAUGUCCCAGUUCUCACGGAGGAACUGGAUGAGCGCUUCUUCCUAUUUCGGGUCGAGUGUUGUGGAGAUGUGGGUCGGAGCUGCAUCGGGGUCGGUCGGGUGAAUGUAAACAGGCUUCGUCUCACCGGACGACUGGAAUGCAGACUCUGUGGCUGGUUUCUUGGAUCGCAGCAAGUCACUCGGAUCUGCGUUUUGCUUGUAUUCUUCAAACUCGACCGCUGUCACCUGGGAAUCAGCAAUCUUUGAGCCUUUCUGAAAGCACUCUUCUGCCUUUUUCCGAUCACCGGUGAUAGUGAUAACUCCUUUGGGGCCGGGCAUCUUCAAUUUGAGGUACACGUAACAUGGUCGAGCCAUGGACCGUGCAUAAGAUGGUCUCCCCAAAAUGGCAUGAUAUGCACCCUGAAAAUCCACGACCUCAAACGUCAACUUCUCUUUGCGAAAAUGUUUCGAAUCACCAAACACCAUGUCUAGAGCUAUUUGGCCGAGUGACUCGGCUUUCUUCCCUGGUAUAACUCCAUGAAAUCUCAUGUUACUGGUGCUCAGUCGGGACAUCGGAAUGCCCAUUCCUUUCAGCGUGUCUGCAUACAACAAAUUCAGCCCACUACCACCGUCCAUCAGCACUUUUGUCAGUCGAGUGCCUUCGACAACCGGAUCGACCACCAAAGCUUGCCUCCCAGGGGUGGCAAUAUGAGUCGGGUGAUCAGAUUGGUCGAAUGUGAUGGGUGUUUGGGACCAUCUCAGAUAAUUUGCUUUUGCUGGGGCGACCAUGUUCACCUCUCGGUUAAUGACUUUCAAUCGACUCUUGCUUUCCACAUCUGCAAAGAUCAUCAGAGUGGAGUUGAUGUGUGGAUAUCCUUCCUCACUGUCCUCCUUGUCUGCGGGCUUGUCCGAAUCCUUCUCCUUGUCCUUAGACUGUUUUCCCUAAAACUGCUGGAUCAGGAGUCGACAUUGGCGAGUGGUAUGCUUCGGGUAGAUGAUAUUCCCCUCUUCGUCUUUCUUCGUGUGGAUGUGACACGGCAUAUCCAUCACAUCGUUCCCUUCCUUAUCCUUUACCUUCUUAGGGUUCCAGGAUCCUUUUGGUUUCCCUUUAAACUUUCUCUGAGUCACGGCCAGAGCCUCUCCAGGAGCUGCCGGUUCAGCCUUCCGCUUCUGUUUCCGACUGGUGUUUCCCUUUUCCGGCUGACUCGGCUUGUGCUUGCCGCUUCGGAGUCGGUCUUCUUCUUCGCCGUUGGCGUACUUGGUAGCAAUCUCCAUCAUCCGACUCAAGGUCAUGUCACCGGUUCGACCAAAUUUCAAACUCAAUUCUCUAUUCUUGACACCAUCCUUAAAGGCGCAGACUGCCUGAUGAUCAGACACAUUCUCCACAGUAUGGUGCAAAGUGAUCCAUCUCUGAAUAUACUCCCUGAGAGUCUCAUUGUUCUUCUGCACGCAGACUUGCAGCUCCGUCAAUCCAGCCGGUCGCUUGCAAGUUCCUUCAAACGUUCUGAUGAACACUCGGGACAGAUCUUCCCAAGUGUAAAUGCUGUUAGGAGGUAAUUGAGUCAACCAUGCCUUGGCAGAACCUUCCAGCAUGAGGGGCAAAUGCUUCAUGGCCACCUCGUCAUUCCCACCACCAAUCUGAACCGCCACUCGGUAGUCUUCAAGCCAAGUUUCAGGCUUAGACUCACCAGUGAACUUGCUGACUCCCGUUGCCAACCUGAAAUUGGGAGGGAUGACUGCGGCUCUGAUAGCUCUGCUGAAACAUUCAGGACCAGAAACAUGCACUCGACUGCUUGUGGGCGCAUCUCUAUCGAGUCCACCUCGAUGGGCUCUGUUCCGGUCGACUAAGCCUUGCACGAUAAUGGAUCGCGCAUCAAAGCCUGGUUCUUUGGGGUCGACUGGAACUCUUCGCCCCGCACUGAGCUGUCGUCUGUCAUCUUGCUGCCGAGGAGCGUAAGACCCACCCCUCGGAGGGGAAUUGGACACUCGACGCCUAUCAUCCCGGUCGAGUCGAUCACCAUAUUGGUCUCGCCGAUUCUCGGGCCCUUCACGCCGCGGAGGCGAUCUGGGGCUGUGAGCCGACUGAACCGUAUUCGCAGCGACGGAUCGACUGUGAAUUCUGUUGCGCGACUGCGACACGGCCGAAUUCUGAUCUCCUGCUGCCCGGAGCAAAUCCCUGAUCUGCAUCAAGCCUCUGCCAGCUUCCGACUGAGAGGGCUGGAUGGACUCUGCUAUACGGGUCGCAGCUGCUAAAUUCUGAAUUGGGGUUCGAUAUACCUGAGUCGGUGGGAAGAGUUGACGUCGACUGUUGUCGGGAACUCGUUGCCGCGCGCGCUCGUCGAGUGCUCGCUGAAGAUUCUCCAGUCGAGUGCGUUCGGCCAAAUUGGCCAAACGUGCCUCCUCCAAGGCGCGAGCCUUGGGGGUUUCUCCUGCGAUGGGAGUACGCAGGGCAUCCACGUUCCUGCGGCGAAGUUCCUCUCUUUGCAGAGAGUCGAGUUGCUCGGGCUGGUACUCUUCGUGGUCUCGUGCGGGGUCGCCUCCGUCGCCUGCUCCACCAUCACGGGCGAAGCCAGGGGGACUGCGGGGCCCGUCGACCAUCAGGAUUUCCGCCGCUGGAUCACUGCUAUCGCACUCGGAUGCAGUCUCUACGGAGCCAGUCGACAGAUCAAACAGGCCGUAGAGAGAUUCGUCGGGCUCGAUUGCCGCAACUUGGGUGGUGGCCGUCUGGCGAGCCACCGCGUGCCUCACCCACCGCUGAAGCCUCGACCGGCCCGAGCGCUUGCGCUGGCGGGAGAUCGGGAGGGUGGUCGAUGGGGGAGUCGACCGAUACGGAGUCGACGGUUGCCGCAGCAGAACGCCGCGGACACAUGCGCGAAAAUGCGUCGCACCGCGGACGGGGAGCGCAUCGACGUCGAGUGGAGCCUCCUGGAGCCAGGCGGAGUCGUCGGCGACGAAGGUGAGAGCACCGAGACGGAUCUCUCGACCCUCAACCAAAACUCCAGCAGUCAUCAUGAUAAAAGUACUCGGAAGAACCGCAACUUCUCCACAAAAUCGCUAAAACACCGGCCCCACGGUGGGCGCCAACUGUCGUGGUUCUAAGUCUGACAGUAGAGUGGGGGGUAGGUAUGGAGAGGCAAGGUCCUAGCUAUGGAGAGGUUGUAAACACAAGAGAUGUACGAGUUCAGGCCCUUCUCGGAGGAAGUAAAAGCCCUACGUCUCGGAGCCCGGAGGCGGUCGAGUGGAUUAUGUGUAUACGAAUUACAGGAUCCCAACCCUUCUGCCUGUGGAGGGGGGUGGCUUAUAUAGAGUGCGCCAGGACCCCAGCCAGCCCACGUAAUGGAGGGUUUAAGGUGUAUUUAGUCCGGGGCGUUACUGGUAACGUCCCACAUAAAGUGUCUUAACUAUCAUAAAGUCUACUUAAUUACAGGCCGUUGCAGUGCAGAGUGCCUUUUGACCUCCUGGUAGUCGAGUGAGUCUUCGUGGUCGAGUCCUUCAAGUCAGUCGAGUGAAUCCCUCGUUGGUCGACUGGAAGGUGACCUCUUCUAAGGGUGUCCUUGGGUAGGGUACUUAGAUCAGGUCUGUGACCCUACCCUAGGUACAUGACUCCAUCAGCGCCUGAUUUUAAAGCGCGCUGCUGGUAAGAUUCUGUGUAUAGGCUUUUCCCUAGUAGUGAGUUGACAUUGAUUCUUUCCAGUGCAUGGAGUCAAACUAAAACGCUCAUAGAGGAACCUAUGAAUUAUAUUGUAAUUUUUUUUAUAGAUGAUGUAACCAUUAUCACUAAUAAAUAAAGAGGUUGUUUUAUUUCAAAAAAAAUACUCAUCGAGACAAACUAAAUGUACCAGCAUAAGCUAGUAUGAGAAAAAUACACAAGGAAAUACUAAAUUAAAUCUAAUAGCUUGCCCUCGUUACUUGAGUCAAAUAUAUAUCCCUCAAGUUUUCCACAUUACUUACAUAGUCAAAUACAGUAUAUCUUCACUUGCGUACAUUGCAUACUAGUCAAGACAAAUUUAACCAAGAUACCAACAUCCAACUACCACUUGACAUAAACCAAUAACAAUCAUACAGCAACUGAACUCAGACAUCAUUUGUAAGUUUGUGGAAAUAAGGUAGGUUCUGGACAAGAGACCAUGCGACGGUGACUUCAAACUUACAACGGUGAACUUCAAGCAUACGCAUGCUCCUGGAGGCUUUCUUGGCUCUGAAUGCUUCUGAAUCUCUCUCAACAGUUUGAUCCUCCAAGCUACUUGCCAUGACGGAGACAUCAUUUGUAAGUUUGUGGAAAUAAGGUAGGUUCUGGACAAGAGACCAUGCGACGGUGACUUCAAACUUACAACGGUGAACUUCAAGCAUACGCAUGCUCCUGGAGGCUUUCUUGGCUCUGAAUGCUUCUGAAUCUCUCUCAACAGUUUGAUCCUCCAAGCUACUUGCCAUGACGGAGACUAUCAACUCUCCAUUAGCUUCAACAGAUACAACAUGUCAUGAAAGCUGUAUCAUGCCAUCAGCUGCAAGAGGCAACUUAUCUCCGAACGCAAGCAACUCGAUUUUCUUGGCAUCAAUACUGGCCGUGUUGGCAGAAAUUAAACCUUGAAAACCUCCUGGCCAUUCCCCACCAACAACUCUCACACUGAUGGUGGCCUCCACUGAAUUAACAAUAUCACCCAGCAUCAAUGCCACUGUGCUAAGCUUGCUGGUGCUGACACGUUUAAUCACGUAUGAUUCACUAGAACCAGAAUCAUGAUAAUAAAAAACUAGAUUACUCAAUUCUCUGUCCUCUGAUUCAGUUCUGCCCUUAACUCGCAAGUUAACCUCAAAGGACGCAGGAUCCACAACAACAACAGCGCGGGUAGGACCUGUCAGUCUCAGACAUGGAUUCUGCAUGCAAAAUUUAAAAUGUAAGUUAUGUAUCAUUUAUCUCGAGUAGUGACGGGAGCAAAUAUAACCAAUCUAUGCUGAUGUCAAGAAAGAAUGCGUCCACUGACAAGUAAUCCAUUUAUUACGCUAAACUUAAUAACAAGUGCUUGAAUUAAAUAUAUGUUGGUAGAAAGCACAGGAAAGGCGGAAUUUUCUAGAGGUGAGCCCAUGAAUUUGAGUUGGGUCAGCAAGCAUUUCAAAUGUCUAAAACUCCUGCAUUUUAAACAAAUAAUAUGUAGAUUGAAGAAAAAGAAGAGGCAAACAUUGAACAUCACAACUGAAGCAUACACUUCAAAACUAUGUACAGUAUGGAAACGCUUUAGAGGCAAACAAAAAGGGGAAAUUCUGAGGUGUGCAUAUAUACUCUAAAACUUAUUAUCUAAGAGAUCAGAUUGCAAGCAACACUAGAGGAUUUUCAAGUAGAAUUUCACAUGGGAACACAAGAAAUUAUCGAGUACAUUGAAAAUGAAGCACUGGCCUCAAACAAACUGGUCAAGAGAGGGUAAAAGUUGCACGCGCUAUUCCAUAGGAUUCGACUAUACCUGGAAAUUAUCUACACUGAUGUUGCAUACUUUUAGAACUCAGAACAUCUUACAGACAAAUAACAUGCUUCCCACUUACAUUUGCAGAUUCAUUCAUACUUCAUGGAUUGAUAAUUUGGUAUAUAUUUGCCCAUAACAAUUGGAAGAGAAAGUAAUUAUUUUCUCACUUCACUUCAUGUUUUAAAUCUCUAAUUUAACCAUACAUAUAUAUAUGUCCCAGUAUAUAAAUAACAUUAUGGAGGUAACAAUAAUAUGGCACGUGAGCAACGAGACUACGAACCUUCGUGUCAAUGGUUUGGCAGUUAUCCCUGGAGCGGUUGAAGAUGAUGUUGCGAUUCUGAUCAAAUGAGUCGCGUGCGGCAAUGAUACCAUACACAUCGAGAGGCCAGUCCAAUCCACCUGUGAUGGCUCCAACCCUGACCGAAAAGACCUGCAGAGUACGCACAGGGUAGGCUGUACCGCGUCCACGCGGAGGCUUGUCGUCCGUGUAACACAUGGGCUGGGUGGGUGCUGCAGAUCAAUGUGAACCAAUCAAGACGCUUAGCGGAGAUCAUUAUUCCUAGAGCGAUUGACGAGGAGGGAGAAAGGGAUUCGGGUCUGCUUACAGGGACCGAAGGAGUCGACCCGCAGAGAUUCGCCGGAUUCCCGGUGCCUCCUGGCAUCGACGGCCUCCCAGUAGUCAGUGGGGUCGAGCGCCUGCAGCUUCAUGGCCUCCAUGUUUUCCUCGACCCACUGGUUCGAGAUCCUGAUUUCCUCGGGGUCUCCCGUGGCGAUCCACUUGAUGACGGCGUCCAGCUCCCCCUUCCGGUCCUGGUUCCUCCGGCCGCCGCCGCGACGUCCUCCUCGGUCAUCGUCUUGGGCUUGAAGACGCUCCUGUCCUUGGCCCUCUCCGCCUCCAAGCUCUUCCUCGCCCACUCCAGAGCCGCCGCCUUCCGCGCGCUCUUCUUUUUGUUUUUGGGGGCGUGGGCUGUCUUCCUCCUCUCCGCCUCCUCCGCCGCCUUCGUCGUCCCCUCCUGCCGUACCGCCAGUAUCAAAUCGACGUACGCAUCAAACUGCUCCUGCCGUGUGAACUCCAUCGCCGCUUUGCUAGAGAGAAGAGCGAGAGAACCCUAACCCUAGAUCGACCCUCGCCUUCUCUUCUCUUCUCUUCUCAGGGUGGGGGAUUUGGGGGAUGUCGGGGUGCCUAGAAACAAGGCCGUGCUGCCUGAGGUGAGGUCGAUUCGGAUCCGAUAGCCCAAGUGCGUUCUGCGCGUUCCCUCUUUCGUUCUUUUCGUUCGUUUCUUAUAUAAUAUACAGGUUGCUUUUCUUUGUUUUGUUUUAUUUAUUAUUCAAUUUAACUUUUUGGGUGUUAUUUCUCGUUCUUUCUUUUUUAACAGCCCAAUUUGGAAAAUGGCAUCGCUUAUUUCUUUUAUCAGUGAAAUCUUUACAGAGAUCUUGAUUCAUCUCAGGACUCACUUUUUGGUGCACCAGAUUCAGAAUUAUCUCCGCAUUAACUUAUUGGUACUUGGUGUGUAGAUGAGCAAAGAAGUCUGUUGCCAUCUGUUUUCUGAUCAUUAACAAUCUGGUCUGCUCCGUUCUUCAGAUAAGCUAAGCGAUUCUUAUUUGCUCUCCAAGUGGCCUUGCGGUGAAAAAAGGUCGGUCGUGUUGCGACCCCCCCUCUCAAAUCCAUGUGAUUCUUGACCUCUGUAGCCACAUAACUUACUCGCAACAAAGCAAGUCAUCCAGCUCAACUGUUUCUGUUGCACAACACUGGCUUCUUCAUCCUGAGACAUGAUAGAUCAGCUCAAGCUUCUUCCAUGUCUUUUCAAAUUUCUGUGGCCACAACUGCGUCACCCCUCACCUUCAUUUUGCGCAGCCUCAUUCACAUCAGCCGCUCCCACCCAGCAGGAGGCAAGGAAACAGAGGCCGAGGGAUGAAUAUUUUGACGCCAACAAAGCAAAGCCAAAUGCCUUGGAGCUCUUCGUUGUGCUCCCGAUACAGGAACACCCAACGACGCCCUUCCGAACCACAGCUCCACCUGCCCCAACCAUGCAGCAGUGCCGCGCUUGGGACAGCCAGAAGACAAGGUGCCUGGCUCAAGGGACGCUGCAGUGCAGAGCAGCCACCCCAGAAUGCCAAUCCCCUUCCUAAUUUGUGAUCCCCUUCACCCGCGCCUCCAAGAGAUAACAUAGUCAAAUACAUAUCUUAAUUUGUCCACAUUACAUAGUCAAAUACAUAUCUUAAUUUGUCCACAUUACAUGUCAAAUAUAUCUUGGCUUGCCCACAUUACAUACUAGUCAAGACAAAUUUAACUAGGACACUACAUUACAUAGUCAAAUAUCUUAGCUUGCCCACACUACAUAUACUAGUCAAGACACAUCUAACCAGGAUACAACUAACAUCCAACACACAGGUACCACUUUGAGAUAAACCAGAGGCCAUCAGUAGGGCAAUAACAAUCAUCCAGCAACAAAACCCAGACAGUCUUUGCUAGUUCGGGACAAAAGACCAUGCGAUGGUGACUUCCAACUUACAAGAGUGAACUUCAAGUAUUCACCUGCUCCUGGAGGCUUUCUUGGCUUUGAAUGCUUCUGAAUCUCUCUCAACAGUUUGAUCCUCCAGGCUACUUGCCAUGACACAGACUCUCAACUCUCCAUCAGCUUCAACAGAUACAACACACCGUGAAAGCUUUAUCGUGCCAUUAGCUACAACAGGCAACUUAUCAUCUCCGAACGCAAGCAACUCAAUUUUUUGGGCGUCGAUACUGGCGGUAUUGGCAAAAAUUAGACCUCUACAACCUUCCGACCAUUCCCCACGAACCACUCUCACACUGAUGGUGGCCUCCACUGAAUGAACAAUAUCACCCAACAUCAAUGCCACUGUGCUAAGCUUGCUAGUGCUGACAUUUUUAAACGCGUACGAUUCGCUAGAGCCAGAAUCACGAUAAUAAACAGCCAGAUAGCUCAAAUCUCUAUCCCCAGAUUCAGUUUUGCCCUUUACUCGCAAGUUAACCUCAAAGUACACAGGAUCCACAACAACAACAGCGCGGGU